rnacentral:lncRNA from 1 species
CGGACUACUAUAAAUAGGCAUGAAGUAUAAAGAUCAUCACAAGCACAAGCAUCAAAACCAAGCAAAACUAGUUAGCACCAAUCCAUCAUGAAGACCUUCCUCGUCUUUGCCCUCCUCGCCGUUGUGGCAACAAGUGCCAUUGCGCAGAUGGAUACUAGCUACAUCCCUGGUUUGGAGAGACCAUGGCAGCAGCAACCAUUACCACCACAACAGACAUUUCCACAACAACCACCAUUUUCACAAUAACAACAACAACAACAACAACAACCAUUUCCUCAACAACCAUCAUUUUCACAGCAACAACCACCAUUUUCACAGCAACAACCAAUUCUACCACAGGGACCACCAUUUUCACAGCAAACACAACCUGUUCUACCGCAACAAUCACCAUUUUCACAGCAACAACAACUAAUUUUACCUCCACAACAACAACAACAGCUUCCGCAACAACAAAUCUCUAUUGUUCAACCAUCCGUUUUGCAGCAGCUAAACCCAUGCAAGGUAUUCCUCCAGCAGCAGUGCAGCCCUGUGGCAAUGCCACAACGUCUUGCUAGGUCGCAAAUGUGGCAGCAGAGCCGUUGCCAUGUGAUGCAGCAACAAUGUUGCCAGCAGUUGUCGCAAAUCCCCGAACAAUCCCGCUAUGAUGCAAUCCGUGCCAUCACCUACUCCAUCAUCCUACAAGAACAACAACAGGGUUUUGUCCAAGCUCAGCAGCAACAACCCCAACAGUCAGGUCAAGGUGUCUCCCAAUCCCAACAGCAGUCGCAGCAGCAGCUCGGACAAUGUUCUUUCCAACAACCUCAACAGCAACUGGGUCAACAGCCUCAACAACAACAGGUACAACAGGGUACCUUUUUGCAGCCACACCAGAUAGCUCACCUUGAGGUGAUGACUUCCAUUGCGCUCCGUACCCUGCCAACGAUGUGCAGUGUCAAUGUGCCAUUGUACAGCUCCACCACUAGUGUGCCAUUCGGAGUUGGCACCGGAGUUGGUGCCUACUGAUAAGAAAAGAUGUCUAGUAAUAUAUAGUUGGAACACCGUCAUCUAGUUGAUGGACAUGUCGAGGAAGUGGUGACAAAUAAAGUGUCACACAACAUCAUGUGUGACCCGCCCAAAGUAGUAGUUAAAUUCUGGAAUAAAUACAAAUAAAGUGUUCUCUAGACAAUGUUCAUACCGGCGUUGUGUGGACGACGAUCUGACUACCAUGCUUGCAAGUUCAUAAGUUCGUCUUGCCUGGUCACAAUCUCAACCCUGUGUAUUAAUUAAUUAUUCACAUAUAGCAAUAAUCUAGAUUUAAAUAUAAUAGUGUUAUUGUAAAAUUUGGGUUGAACUGAAGCAAGGACAAACAUACAACUCUUUAAUGGUUGGAGAUUUGAGAUCUUGUUUUUCAUUGGUUUGUAUGUGGUUCCAACUACUACCAUUGUCUACAUGACAAUCACAACCGGUUUCAUCAUUACUUCUGUUUGCUUGUUUUUUUUUUGCAAAUACAUCAUUGAUUCUUUGCACAUUAACUUAUUUUUCAAGGAAAAAAACAGCUUUUUCUUGAAUUUCACAGACACCACUAUAUAGUUAAUUUGAAAUAAGUUGCUGUUCAAGCCCUAGACCAGCUAGCACAGUCUGUUUUUGUGGGGAAUGGGAGGGCGUUGUUGCAUGUGUAUUAUUUGCGCAUUAUUUUAUUUUGUUCUUUUGAUGAUCUUAUGCAAUACCACAUUUUACUUGAUGUAAAGCAAAAUAAGCAAUGCAUGUAGAAACCAUAAAACUUGAGACUGGGUGUGUGUCAACUUCACAUCCUCCUCCUUCCGUCAUUUUAAUUGGAAAGCAAUAGCCCUCAUGAGAUCAGACAGCCAUACACAGUGCCAAAAUAAACAAGGUGGUGACAUUAACGAUGCAGCUUUCAAAUUAGUCAAAUGGCUAAACUGAGGCACUGGCAGACAUAUGAGACAUCCACGAGAAUGUAAUCCAGAAUAUUGCAAGUAGAGCACUAUAUUAUGUAUUCAGGACAUCCAAUGCAGUUUUUCAAUGUGACGUUUUAUUGGCUAUGAGCCUAUGACCUUAGCAAAUGAUACAAAUUUUCUUUCCAAAUACUACAAAAUGUUGCAGGACUGCAAAUUAAACAAUUACCUCCACUGACUAGACGUGAAACAACACACCUGUUGUGCAACAACAAAAUAUAAUUCAUCUCAAGCACCUACCCUGCAGGGAUUAGUUCUCGUGAAUUCAUUGAAUCUAGAAUGCAUCGCAUGCUUACUUCUGAAGAGAGUAGACACGGAAGCAAGUGGUCACUUUCUUGUCCUUUUUAAUGGCACCUAUAAUUAAGAUUGAGUACAUGAUCGAACUCAGAAGUGAUCAUAAUCUGCUGGUAGAUUAUUAUUUCUUGUUCAUAUGAACAUAAUACUUAAUAUACUGACAUGAUAAAAGGCAACUUGACAAUCUCCUGUCAUUCAACAAUGAAAGAUAUGUAUGAGUAUGCAAUCCAGUUUGGUGAGCUUAAUAUGUGCCAUUAUUGAAGGAAAUAUGCACUAGAGGCAAUAAUAAAGUUGUUAUUUAUAUUUCCUUAUAUCAUGAUAAAUGUUUAUUAUUCAUGCAAGAAUUGUAUUAAUCGGAAACUUAGUACAUGUGUAAAUACAUAGACAAACAAAGUGUCACUAGUAUGCCUCUACCUGACUAGCUCGUUGAAUCAAAGAUGGUUAAGUUUCCUAGCCAUAGACAUGAGUUAUCAUUCGAUUAACAGGAUCACAUCAUUAGAGAAUGAUGUGAUUGACUUGACCCAUUCCGUCAGCUUAGCAUUUGAUCAUUUAGUAUAUUGUUAUUGCUUUCUUCAUGACUUAUACAUGUUCCUAUGACUACACUAGUAGAAAAAGGGCCUAUUGUCCCGGUUUGUAAGGGCCUUUUGUCCCGGUUCCUGAACCGGGACUAAAGGGUCGGUACUAAUGCCAUGUCCCUUUAGUCUAGGUUCAAUCCAGAACCGGGACAGAUGGGCCUCCACGUGGCCUAUGCGCGUAGCCCAGGUAGGAGGGCCUUUGGUCCCGGUUGGUGGCACAAACCGGGACCAAUAGGCAUCCACGCGUCAGCAUUUAUGUGNNNNNNNNNNNNNNNNNNNNNNNNNNNNNNNNNNNNNNNNNNNNNNNNNNNNNNNNNNNNNNNNNNNNNNNNNNNNNNNNNNNNNNNNNNNNNNNNNNNNNNNNNNNNNNNNNNNNNNNNNNNNNNNNNNNNNNNNNNNNNNNNNNNNNNNNNNNNNNNNNNNNNNNNNNNNNNNNNNNNNNNNNNNNNNNNNNNNNNNNNNNNNNNNNNNNNNNNNNNNNNNNNNNNNNNNNNNNNNNNNNNNNNNNNNNNNNNNNNNNNNNNNNNNNNNNNNNNNNNNNNNNNNNNNNNNNNNNNNNNNNNNNNNNNNNAGCAUUUAUGUGGCUAGGGUGUUUUUUGAAAGGAGGGGGGGGGGGGUUUGGGGGUUUUGGGGGGUUAAUUUAGGUGUUUCAUAUAUUGUGUUAGCUAGCUAUAAUUAAUAGAGAGAAGUGUCCUCUCUUAUGUCCGUGCUUGGUCGAUGCUACGUACUAUACAUACGUAUAGAGAGGACUAGACACGCUAGCUAGCUAGUAAGAAAACGAAGAAAACAGAAGAUCGUCAUGAACAUAUAUAUGCAUACAGAGAGAAGUGAUAUCGACCACCUCUCCUUCUCUGAGAGAUUGGUCGAACAACAAGUUCUCGUAUAUCUAUCCGACACUACCGGCUACAUAUAUACAAUAAUUAUCUCUUACAAAUAUAAUCUCCUAACAUACGGACGCAUGGUCCACAUAGAAUUCUCCGUCUUCAGCAAUCAUGUGGUCAAGAAAGAAUGCCGCCAAUUCCUCUUGAAUUGCUCGCAUGCGAGCUGGUGCUAGGAGUUCAUCCCGCUUCCAAAACAUCUAAUUUGAAGAAGGGGGGGUCAAUACACACAUAUAUAUAUAUGAAUGAAUGAAACUCAACACAAAUGAUGGUAAUAAAAUAAAAUCAUGAAUGUUGUUAUUUACGCACUUCAUAUUGUUCGUCAGAGUAGCCCCGCUCACAGGUCGUGUGGCGGAUGGACUCGCAAACGUAGUAUCCACAAAAAUCAUUCCCUUGUUCCUGCCACAACCACUUUACAAGAAAUAGAGGUCAAUCAAACUGAUAAGAAAGAAUGCCAAAUGGUAUUGAUGAAACUAGCGCUUGAAUCACUAGGAGAUGCGCGGAACAUGCUACUAUAGUACUUACUUUCGGGUGUCUAAAUUGCAGCUUCUUCGGGAGUCCCGAAGCUUUUUUGGUGAAUUUUUUCCAAACCCUGCCAAACAAUGAAAACAAUUACUUGAUAUAUCAGGAAAUGAACAAAGUUGCUGAUAUGGUGGAUAAUGAUCGAUUUAACUUACUUCUCGAGCAUUUGAGUCAUGUCCGCAUAGUCCUGGGGAUCUUUUCGUCUUGAGUCUAAGACGGUUACUAGUCCCUGCUCAAGCUUAAUCUUUAGGAGUAUAUAGUGGAAACUGCACACACAUGCAUAACUCAUCAAUUACAUUACUAUAACCUUGACUAAUAUAUAAGGGAAACCGAAUAUGCACAAGACAGUAACACUCACUUGAAGUUGUAAGGAAAGAGUAUUAUAUCUUUGUUUUCAUUUAUUACCAACGAUCGUAGCAAGUUGGCCUCGAUAUCUGUGGCAUGAAAUUUAACCUGAGUUGCAUCUAUGAGAUUUGUGUUAAUGAACCCAAUAUCACCGAUUUGUCUUUUCUUCAAUUCGGCGAUCUUCAAUCUGCAUAAUAUAGUGAGGAUAAUUAUAAAUACAUGCAAUGAAAGAGCUGAGCUAUAUAGAGAGACUUAAUGACAGAAGUAGUACUACUUACAGACAGUAGCAGGUGACCGUUGCUUUAUCGAGGGCCAAUUGAUUGAAAAACUGAAAGAACUCCUCAAAUGGAACAGGCAACGGUUCAAUUCCAACAAGGUCAUGCUCCUUUUUAACUCUCACAUACAAAGUACUCCUCCCCCCCAGACUCUCUGCAGAUUUUCAAGUACCAAUCAUGCAAACUUCACAUCAUCGUUGAUAGGGAUCUUUCAUCUUUGACGAGAGGCUUCCCGUACUCGUAUCUUUGUAUCUGCACCUCCAUGAAAUCAUAAUGUACAUCGUCGGGCAGGUAAUCUCCAAGAUUGCUAUAACCGGGCACCAUCCUCGGAUCAUUAGCGACGAUGUCGCUAGGCACCUUGAGCGGGGGGCACAAUUGCUUCGCUUGUUCGCCGAGCUGGGCAAUUUGUUUCCCAGCUCGUCGUUCUUUCAGCCUUUGAUCACUAACAGUACUUCCUGACCGCUCCGCUUCGGCAAAUUCUUUUCCAAUAAUGCGCUCAUAGUUGCCUUUCGGCGGAGACUUGGGUGGUUUUAUCAGGGCAGCCAGAGUGCGCUUCGCUUUCACCGGAUCUACCUUCUCCUCCGGAGGUGGAUGUUUCUUUGCUUUCACCCCUUCAAAGUAGUUCCUCGCUUCUUCUCGCACGAUCUCGGUGUUCUCCUCCGGGGUCCUCUCGUAUGGUAACUUCUCUGGAGUCUUCAGAGAAGGACCGAAUCUGUAUGUCCUCCCGCCUCUGGCUGUACUGCUAGACGCCGACAGAGCAGACGAAGCGACUGUCUUCUUUACUUGCUUACGAGGCGGAGGAGAAGGACUACGACGCGCCGGAGAAGCCGGAGCGGCGGCGGGUCUCUUCCGCCCUUGCUGACGAGGUGGAGAAGGAGGAGGCUGGCUACUCGGGCGCGCCGGCGCAGGUGGAGAAGGAGGCGGAGUGCCGCCACGCGCCGGAGAAGGAGCAGGCCGAGUGCCUUGAUCGUCACUCGCCGGAGGAGGAGGCGGUGGAGGAGGCGGAGUGCCCUGACUUGCCGGAGGAGGAGGAGGAGGCGGAGGCGUCCAGUUCGGAAGGUUGAUGAGCUCCUUCCGCCAUAGGCAUGGAGUCUUCAGAGCAGAACCCAGCCGAGUCUCCCCUUCACUGGUAGGGUGGUCAAGCUGGAGGUCCUCAAAUCCCUCCAUUAUUUCAUCGACCAUUACCCUAGCAUAUCCUUCUGGAAUCGCCCGGCAGUGAAAAGUUGCACCGGGUUCAGUAGGAAAAAUAGAGCCAACAGCCGCCUUGACCUUCAUAUUAAUCCAUUGCGUCAUAAGGUGGAAAUUUUGAGACUCCGGGAUAGCAUCCAUGGGAUAGCUGGCAGGAGCCAUCAAGACAUGCUCCGGCUGAAGCAGCUCGGUGGAAGCCACACUGCUUCUCCGCUGAGAUGGCGGGGUAGCUUCGGGGGAAGCUUCGGCAGUUCGUUUGCUGCGAUUUGCUUCUUGUUCCUCUAUCGCUUGUACCCUAGCGUGCAGCGCCUGCAGUUGGGUCUGCUCCACUUUCUUCCUCCUCUCGUGGCAUUUGUAACCGCCUACGUCCGGAAACCCAGUCUUCCAUGGAAUGGAGCCUGGCGUGCCUCGUGUCCGUCCAGGGUGCUCAGGAUUCCCGAGGGCCAUUGUGAGCUCGCCGUUCUCUCUGUCUGGAACGAACGUCCCUUGCUGCGCUGCUUCGAUAUACUGCUGAAGCUUCUUGACUGGUAUUUCCAUUUGAUCGUCCGUCCAAAUGCACUUCCCUGAUACAGGGUCCAAGGAUCCGCCAACCCCGAAGAACCAAGUCCGGCAAUGGUCUGGCCAAUUAAUUGUCUCUGGUUCGAUCCCUUUAUCAACCAGAUCAUUCUCAAUCUUGGCCCACGUAGGCCGGGCUACGAGGUAGCCACCUGACCCCGUGCGAUGGUGAUGCUUCUUCUUCGCAGCAUUUUGCUUGUUUGUCGUCGACAUCUUCUUACUCUUUUCCGAUGUCUUGUGGGCCACAAAUGCGGGCCAGUGAUCUCUGAUCUUCUCAUAUCUGCCCUUGAAUUCUGGUGUCUCUUUUUUAUCGACAAACUUAUUCAGCUCUUUCUUCCACCUCCUGAAUAGUUCUGCCAUCCUCUUAAGAGCAAAAGACUUGAUUAAUUGCUCUUUAACUGGCUUCUCCGGAUCAUCCUCUGGCAGUAGGGUGAAAUUUGACUUCAGCUCAGUCCAAAGAUCAUUUUUCUGCAUAGCAUUGACAUAAAACACCUCAGGGUCUUCUGUAGCCGGCUCUAACCAUUGCUGGAUGCUGAUCAGGAUCUUGUCCCUAACGAGAACCCCGCACCGAGCAACACAUGCGCUCUUUGUCCGGAGGGGUUCAAUCGGUUGGCCGUCGGGCGCGAUUGCUAUGAUCUCAAACUUUUCAUCCGAGCUCAACUUUUUUUCGGGCCUCGUCUCUUUACCGAAGUUGUGCUCGAUCCGGAGGGCUAGAAAAAAUAACAAAGACUUAAUUAAUAUGUGUACAUACCAAAACAAUGAAUGCAUCAAUUAGCUAGUCAGCACAGGCUUAACUAAUAUAUAUACCUGUCCGGACUCGGUUCGGUCAUCGGAGACGUCAUCACGGUCUCCUUCUUGCACCGGCAUUGGGUCACCGGAGCCGUCCUCACGGUCUCCUUCUUGCACCGGCAUUAGGUCACCGGAGCCAUCAUAAUCAUAGCCAGCUGCUUCCAGACCAUCGGUGUCGUUGAGAAACAACGAGCAGACGCCAUCACUUCCUCGUGCGAUUAUGUCCCCCAACAACUCUUCUUGUACUUCGUCUCGGGCGGUGUCCAUAGUUUCUACAAAUAUUGACAACAUGGCAAUUAUUAUUCAAACAUGACAGAUGGAUAUAUUAGUGGCAAACGUAGAACUAAUAUUAAUUAGUGGCCUCGAUGCUGCUUAGCCUUGGUACGAUUUCUGGAUCGAUCACCUUCUGAGAGAUUGCAUUGAGGAAUGCACAUAGCUUCACAAUGGCUAAUCGGAAGUUUUCUGGUAGAAGCCCCCUCAAUGCAACCGGAAGCAGUUGCGUCAUAAUCACGUGGCAGUCAUGAGACUUUAGGUUCUGAAACUUUUUCUCUGGCAUAUUUAUUAUUCCCUUUAUAUUCGACGAGAAGCCAGUCGUGCCUUCAUACUGAGCAGACAUUCAAAGAAGAUUUCUUUCUCUUCUUUCGUAAGAGCGUAGCUGGCAGGACCUUUAUACUGCUACGGAGGAAUGCCGUCUUUUUCGUGCAAACGUUGCAGGUCCUCCCGUGCCUCAGGUGUAUCUUUUGUCUUCCCAUACACGCCCAAGAAGCCUAGUAGGUUCACGCAAAGGUUCUUUGUCACGUGCAUCACGUCGAUUGAAGAGCGGACCUCUAGGUCUUUCCAGUAGGGUAGGUCCCAAAAUAUAGAUUUCUUCUUCCACAUGGGUGCGUGUCCCUCAGCGUCAUUCGGAACAGCUAGUCCGCCGGGACCCUUUCCAAAGAUUACGUGUAAAUCAUUGACCAUAGCAAGUACGUGAUCACCGGUACGCAUGGCCGGCUUCUUCCGGUGAUCUGCCUCGCCUUUGAAAUGCUUGCCUUUCUUUCGACAUUGAUGGUUGGUCGGAAGAAAUCGACGAUGGCCCAGGUACACAUUCUUCCUGCAUUUGUCCAGGUAUAUACUUUCAGUGUCAUCUAAAUAGUGCGUGCAUGCGUGGUAUCCUUUGUUUGUCUGUCCUGAAAGGUUACUGAGAGCGGGCCAAUCGUUGAUGGUCACGAACAGCAACGCCUUUAGGUUAAAUUCCUCAUGUCUGUGCUCAUCCCACGUACGUACACCAUUUCCAUUCCACAACUGUAAAAGUUCUUCAACUAAUUGCCUUAGGUAUACAUCAAUGUCGUUGUCGGGUUGCUUAGGGCCUUGGAUGAGAACUGGCAUCAUAAUGAACUUCCGCUUCAUGCACAUCCAAGGAGGAAGGUUAUACAUACAUAGAGUCAUGGGCCAGGUGCUGUGAUUGCUGCUCUGCUCCGCGAAAGGAUUAAUGCCAUCCGCGCUUAAAGCAGACCAUACGUUCCUUGGGUCCUUUGCAAACUCAUCCCAGUACUUUCUCUCGAUUUUUCUCCACUGCGACCCAUCAGCGGGUGCUCUCAACUUCCCAUAUUUCUUUCGGUCCUCACUAUGUCAUCGCAUCAACUUGGCAUGCUCUUCGUUUCUGAACAGACGUUUAAACCGUGGUAUUAUAGGAGCAUACCACAUCACCUUCGCAGGAACCCUCUUCCUGGGGGGUCGUCAUCAACAUCACCAGUGUCAUCUCGUCUGAUCUUAUACCGCAAUGCACCGCAUACCGGGCAUGCGUUCAGAUCCUUGUAUGCAUCGCGGUAGAGGAUGCAGUCAUUAGGGCAUGCAUGUAUCUUCUCCACCUCCAAUCCUAGAGGGCAUACGACCUUCUUUGCUGCGUAUGUACUGUCGGGCAAUUCAUUAUCCUUUGGAAGCUUCUUCUUCAAUAUUUUCAGUAGCUUCUCAAAUCCUUUGUCAACCACAACAUUCUCUUCCUUCCACUACAGCAAUUCCAGUACGGUACCGAGCUUUGUGUUGCCAUCUUCGCAAUUGGGGUAGAACCCUUUUUUGUGAUCCUCUAACAUGCGAUCGAACUUCAGCUUCUCCUUUUGACUUUCGCAUUGCGUCCUUGCAUCGACAAUGACCCGACGGAGAUCAUCAUCAUCGGGCAUAUCGUCUGGUUCCUCUUGAUCUUCAGCAGCUUCACCCGUUGCAGCAUCAUUGGGCACGCCGUCUGAUUCCUCUUGAUCUUCACCAGCUCCCCCCGUUGCAGCAUCACCGUACUCAGGGGGCACAUAGUUGUCAUAGUACUCUUCUUCUUCGCCGUCCUCCAUCAUAACCCCUAUUUCUCCGUGCCUCGUCCAAACAUUAUAGUGUGGCAUGAAACCCUUGUAAAGCAGGUGGGAGUGAAGGAUUUUCCGGUUAGAGUAAGACCUCAUAUUCCCACAUUCAGUGCAUGGACAACACAUAAAACCAUUCUGCUUGUUUGCCUCAGCUGCAUUGAGAAACUCAUGCACGCCCUUAAUGUACUCGGAGGUGUGUCUGUCACCGUACAUUCAUUGCCGGUUCAUCUGCGUGCGUUAUAUAUAAUUAAGUGUCCAAAUUAAUAGAAGUUCAUCAUCACAUUAAAACCAAAGUACAUACAUAGUUCUCAUCUAACAACAUAUAGCUCUCCAGAGCAUCUAAUUAAUUAAACCAUACAUUGAAACUAUGUAAAACAUUUCAAUGCGAAAACAAAUACGACCAUAAUCGCAACCAAGGUAACAAUUGAUCCAAUGGCAUAAUGAUACCAAGCCUCGGUAUGAAUGGAAUAUUUUCUAAUCUUUCUAAUGUUCAAGCGCAUUGCAUCCAUCUUGAUCUUGUGAUCAUCGACGACAUCCGCAACAUGCAACUCCAAUAUCAUCUUCUCCUCCUCAAUUUUUUUUAUUUUUUCCUUCAACAAAUUGUUUUCUUCUUCAACUAAAUUUAACCUCUCGACAAUAGGGUCGGUUGGAAUUUCUGAUUCACAUACAUCCUACAUAAAUAAAAUCUAUGUCACGUUGGUCGGCAUAAUUUUCAUAAACAAUAAAUGAACCAAUAGUUAUAAAGAUAAUAUAUAUACCACAUCCGAAUCAUAGACAGGACGAGGGCUGACGGGGCGGAUACCAAAACCAUCGCACUAUAUAAGAUGCAAUAAUAGAAGUAAGAAAAUAAUACAAGUAUCUAUGUAAACAUACAAGUAAGAAUAUUUUUUCCUUUCAGAAAGAAGAUAAGAACAAGAGGCUCACCACGGUGGUGCCGGCGAUGAGCUCGGCGCGGGUGAUCGACGACGGUGAAGACAGGGACGGGGCGUGACGGACCGCUAAACCUAGACAAAUAUUGAGAAAAAUGGAGCUUGGAGGUCGAGCUUGGAGAGGAGAAAACUUAAGUAGUGUGGCUCGGGCAUUCCAUCGAACACCUUGUGUGCAUAGGAGGUGAGCUAGAGCACCACCAAGACCUCUCCCCCUCGGCCAGAAAAAAACAGAGUAGUGUGCUCUGCUCUUACGCGAGGGGGUAUAUCUAGGCACCUCAUUGGUCCCGGUUGGUGGCAUGAACCGGGACUAAAGGGGAGCCCAUUGGCCCUGGUUCGUCCCACCAACCGGGACCAAAAGGUCCAGACGAACCAGGACCAAUGGCCCACGUGGCCCGGCCGGACCCCUGGGCUCACGGACCGGGUCCAAUGCCCCUAUUGGUCCCGGUUUUGGACUAAACCGGGACUAAUGUGCUGACCCGGCCUGGACCGUUGCCCCCUUUUCUACUAGUGCUAUGAGAUUAUGCAACUCCCGAGUACCGGAGGAACACUUUGUGUGCUACCAAACGUCACAACGUAACUGGAUGAUUAUAAAGGUGCUCUACAGGUGUCUCCAAAGGUACUUGUUGGGUUGGCAUAGAUCGAGAUUAGGAUUUGUCACUCCGAUUGUCGGAGAGGUAUAUCUGGGCCCUACAAACAAUGCAACAAAUGAGUUAGUUGCGGGAUGAUGUAUUACGGAACAAGUAAAGAGACUUGUUGGUAACGAGAUUGAACUAGGUAUUGAGAUACCGGCGAUCGAAUCUCGGGCAAGUAACAUACCGAGGACAAAGGGAACAACGUAUGUUGUUAUGCGGUUUGACCAAUAAAGAUCUUCGUAGAAUAUGUAGGAGCCAAUGUGUGUUGGGGAACGUUACAGAAAACAAAAAUUUUCCUACGGUUUCACCAAGAUCCAUCUAUGAGUUCAUCUAGCAACGAGUGAUCGGAUGCAUCUACAUACCUUUGUAGAUCGCGAGCGAAAGCGUUCAAAGAACGGGGAUGAGGGAGUCGUACUCGACGUGAUCCAAAUCACCGGAGAUCCUAGUGCCGAACGGACGGCACCUCCGCGUUCAACACACGUACGGUCAGCAUGACAUCUCCUUCUUCUUGAUCCAGCAAGGGGAAAGGAGAGGUUGAGGAAGAUGGCUCCAGCAGCAGCACGACGGCGUGGUGGUGAUGGAGCUGCAGUACUCCGGCAGGGCUUCGCCAAGCUCUAUGGAGGAGGAGGAUGUGUUGGAGAGGGAGAGGGAGGCACCAAAGGCAAAGGUGAGAGGUCCUCCAUCCCCCCCACUAUAUAUAGGGGGGCCUAGGGGGGCGCCGGCCCUAGGAGAUGCAAUCUCCUAGGGGGGUGGCGGCCAAGGGGUGGGGGGCUUGCCCCCCCAAGCAAGGGGGCGCCCCCCCUUUAGGGUUUCCCCUACCCUAGGCGCAUGGGCCCUAGGGGAAGUGGCGCCCCAGCCCACUUUGGGCUGGAUCCCUUCCCACUUCAGCCCAUGGGCCCUCCGGGAUAGGUGGCCCCACCCGGUGGACCCCUGGGACCCUUCCGGUGGUCCCGGUACAAUACCGGUGACCCCGAAACUUGUCCCGAUGACCGAAAUAGCACUUCCUAUAUAUAAUUAUUUACCUCCGGACCAUUCCGGAACUCCUUGUGAUGUCCGGGAUCUCAUCCGGGACUCCGAACAACAUUCAGGUUACUGAAUAUACAUAUCCCUACAACCCUAGCGUCACCGAACCUUAAGUGUGUAGACCCUACGGGUUCGGGAGACAUGUAGACAUGACCGAGAUUGCUCUCCGGUCAAUAACCAACAGCGGGAUCUAGAUACCCAUGUUGGCUCCCACAUGCUCCUCGAUGAUCUCAUCGGAUGAACCACGAUGUCGACGAUUCAAGCAACCCCGUAUACAAUUCCCUUUGUCAAUCGGUAUGCUACUUGCCCGAGAUUCGAUCAUCGGUAUCCCAAUACCUUGUUCAGUCUCGUUACCGGCAAGUCACUUUACUCGUACCGUAAUGCAUGAUCCCGUGACCAGACACUUGGUCACUUUGAGCUCAUAAUGAUGAUGCAUUACCGAGUGGGCCCAGUGAUACCUCUCCGUCAUAUGGAGUGACAAAUCCCAGUCUUGAUCCAUGUCAACCCAACAGACACUUUCGGAGAUACCCGUAGUAUACCUUUAUAGUCACUCAGUUACGUUGUGACGUUUGGUACACCCAAAGCACUCCUACGGUAUCCGGGAGUUACACAAUCUCAUGGUCUAAGGAAAGGAUACUUGACAUUGGAAAAAUUCUAGCAAACGAACUAUACGAUCUUAUGCUAUGUUUAGGACUGGGUCUUGUCCAUCACAUCAUUCUCCUAAUGAUGUGAUCUCGUUAUCAAUGAAAUCCAAUGUCCAUAGUCAGGAAACCAUGACUAUCUGUUGAUCAACGAGCUAGUCAACUAGAGGCUUACUAGGGACAUGUUGGUGUCUAUUAUUCACACAUGUACUACGAUUUCCGGAUAACACAAUUAUAGCAUGAAUAAAGACAAUUAUCAUGAACAAGGAAAUAUAAUAAUAGUGCUUUUAUUAUUGCCUCUAUGGCAUAUUUCCAACGGUCUCCCACUUGCACUAGAGUCAAUAAUCUAGUUACAUUGUGAUGAAUCGAACACCCAUGGAAUUCUGGUGUUGAUCAUGUUUUGCUCUAGGGAGCGAUUUAGUCAACGGAUCUGCUACAUUCAGGUCCGUAUGUACUUUACAAAUAUCUAUGUCUCCAUCUUGAACAUUUUCACGAAUGGAGUUGAAGCGACGCUUGAUGUGCCUGGUCUUCUCGUGAAACCUGGGCUCCUUGGCAAGUGCAAUAGCUCUAGUGUUUUCACAGAAGAGUUUGAUUGGCCCCGACACAUUGGGUAUGACUCCUAGGUCGGUGAUGAACUCCUUCACCCAAAUUGCUUCAUGCGCUGCCUCCGAGGCUGCCAUAUACUCCGCUUCACAUGUAGAUCCCGCCACGACGCUCUGCUUGCAACUGCACCAGCUUACUGCCCCACCAUUCAAAAUAUACACGUAUCCGGUUUGUGACUUGGAGUCAUCCAGAUCUGUGUCGAAGCUAGCGUCAACGUAACCUUUUACGACGAGCUCUUUGUCACCUCCAUAAACGAGAAACAUUUCCUUAGUCCUUUUCAGGUACUUCAGGAUAUUCUUGACCGCUGUCCAGUGUUCCUUGCCGGGAUUAUUUUGGUACCUUCCUACCAAACUUACGGCAAGGUUUACAUCAGGUCUGGUACACAACAUGGCAUACAUAAUAGAACCUAUGGCUGAGGCAUAGGGGAUGACACUCAUCUCUUCUAUAUCUUCUGCUGUGGUCGGACAUUGAGCUGAGCUCAAUUUCACACCUUGUAACACAGGCAAGAACCCCUUCUUAGACUAAUCCAUAUUGAAUUUCUUCAAUAUCUUAUCAAGGUAUGUGCUUUGUGAAAGACCUAUGAGGCGUCUUGAUCUAUCUCUAUAGAUCUUGAUGCCUAAUAUAUAUGCAGCUUCUCCAAGGUCCUUCAAUGAAAAACUCUUAUUCAAGUAGGCCUUAAUGCUGUCCAAGAGUUCUAUAUCAUUUCCCAUCAAAAGUAUGUCAUCUAUAUAUAAUAUGAGAAAUGCUACAGAGCUCCCACUCACUUUCUUGUAAACACAGGCUUCUCCAUAAGUCUGCGUAAACCCAAACGCUUUGAUCAUCUCAUCAAAGCGAAUGUUCCAACUCCGAGAUGCUUGCACCAGCCCAUAAAUCGAGCGUUGGAGCUUGCACACCUUGUCAGCAUUCUAGGAUCGACAAAACCUUCCGGCUGCAUCAUAUACAAUUCUUCCUUAAGGAAACCAUUAAGGAAUGCCGUUUUGACGUCCAUUUACCAUAUCUCAUAAUCAUAGAAUGCGGCAAUUGCUAACAUGAUUCGGACGGACUUUAGCUUCGCUACCGGUGAGAAAGUCUGAUCGUAGUCAACCCCUUGAACUUGUCGAUAACCCUUAGCGACAAGCAGAGCUUUAUAGAUGGUCACAUUACCAUCCGCGUCUGUCUUCUUCUUAAAGAUCCAUUUAUUUUCUAUGGCUCGCCGCUCAACAGGCAAGUCAGUCAAAGUCCAUACUUCGUUUUCAUACAUGGAUCCUAUCUCGGAUUUCGUGGCUUCUAGCCAUUUGUCGAAAUCCGGGCCCGCCAUCGCUUCUUCAUAGUUCGAAGGUUCACCGUUGUCUAACAACAUGAUUUCCAAGACAGGGUUGCCGUACCACUCUGGUGCGGAACGUGUCCUUGUAGACCUACGAAGUUCAGUAGCAACUUGAUCUGAAGUUUCAUGAUCAUCAUCAUUAACUUCCUCUCCAGUCGGUGCAGGCACCUCAUGAACAUUUUCUUGAGUUGCGCCAUUUUCCGGUUCAAGAGGUAAUACUUCAUCAAGUUCUACUUUCCUCCCACUUACUUCUUUUGAGAGGAACUCUUUCUCUAGAAAGGAUCCAUUCUUGGCAACAAAAAUCUUGCCUUCGGAUCUGAGGUAGAAGGUAUACCCAAUAGUUUCUUUAGGGUAUCCUAUGAAGAUGCAUUUUUCCGACUUGGGUUCGAGCUUUUCAGGUUGAAGUUUCUUGACAUAAGCAUCGCAUCCCCAAACUUUUAGAAACGACAGUUUAGGUUUCUUCCCAAACCAUAAUUCAUACGGUGUCGUCUCAACGGAUUUCGAAGGAGCCCUAUUUAAAGUGAAUGCGGCAGUCUCUAAAGCAUAGCCCCAAAAAGAUAGCGGUAAAUCGGUAAGAGACAUCAUAGAUCGCACCAUAUCUAAUAGAGUGCGAUUACGAUGUUCGGACACACCAUUACGCUGAGGUGUUCCAGGCGGCGUGAGUUGUGAAACUAUUCCACUAUCCCUCGAAGCUCUGCUGGAUCGGAGUUUGUGGGACGUCACCGAGCUAAACGUGUGCUGAACUCGGAGGUGCCGUGCGUUCGGUACUUGGAUCGGUCGGAUCGUGAAGACGUACGACUACAUCAACCGCGUUCUCAUAAUGCUUCCGCUUACGGUCUACGAGGGUACGUGGACGACACUCUCUCCUCUCGUUGCUAUGCAUCACCAUGAUCUUGCGUGUGCGUAGAAUUUUUUUUGAAAUUACUGUGUUCCCCAACAGUUAUUGUGAGAUAAUGAAAAACGGAAUAAAGGGACACAUGGAAUUCUUUUUAUCAUACUAACGAGUUUCAAAACAUAGAACGGAAGCAACAAAAAUGAAGGCAGAGCGCUAAAAUUUCAGUAACGUUUUAGAAGAUAUAAAAUGCAGUGCCCUUUUAUUGAUCACUGCCUAUAGCCAUAUAAAUGAGGUCUGGGACUCGGUUCGCUCCAAUAUGCCUAUAGAAAGCACAUUUCCUCUGAUGCACAUAUAAAAUUUGACAGUCCAAAACAGAAAAACGCUGAGAUAUACGGAUGAUAUAAUGCUGUAACUAACUUGGAUAUCCUUCCAGUGACCACAGAAUGGACAAAUUUUCUUCUCAGACGUCGAAAAGGGAUGGAACCUCCACACCCACUGCUUCUCCUCCACCUGCAUAGCGUGCGUAGGCAGAAAUUUGAUGAUUAUUUGAAGUGACAUCCACAUAGAGAAGGAUUUAUUCUGCUAGCAAAGCACAAAUGUAGAUCACUGUCAGGCUACAAGACUGAACUGCUCGAUGACCUUCUUGAUUCAUGCAGCUGAUAUGCAAAUGGGUGUGCCCCUUAAAUUCAUGUGAAUCGAAUCGCAGAAGAGACUGACAAACAGGGUUGAUACCUUAUUGCUUGUGUUGACGGGAAGACCGGAGUGGCUGCCGUCGACGUACGGCCCGCACCCGAUGAAGAUCUCGGAGACCUUCUUGCACAUAGAAUGGUAAUUAAUUAAAGAAGUAAGAGGGCCCAUUGUAACUCAUCCCUUUUUAAUAAUGAUAUAUAAAAUAUCCUUCUGCCACCGAUUUGCACCUACGUACAUCAAUUAUUUCUAAUGAUGGUAGAGGAAUCACAUACUGGAGAGGAUAAUAUGGGAGAAAGGGAUCAGAAGAACAGAGGAAGAGGGAGAGAUGAAGAACAGAGUGGUAAGUAAGAGUUCAGGUAAAUUCUCAUUUAAUCGAUACGUUACAGGGAUGGCACUUGACCCUUUUAAACACACAUGCAGUCUCUUACAAGUCGGACCCUUGAGUCCAUAUACCCAGUGCACUAGAUGAUCUUCUUACACCUCACUCAUCCAUCGUCUCUAUAUGGCUGACGGGCCUUCAUCGGCCAUAUCCCAGUCCUCCUCGUCCAGCAUGCUCCGUCGGAUUGGGAUCUGAUUGACUAGUGUGCCCAUGGUUGAGGGCACAGGCGUGACACGAACAUUGCUCCAGGGUCUCCUCAAAGAUGUCAUUUUCCACAUUGGCAUGCCUAAAAGACACAGUUAGAUUUUUGGCAACCUGUUGCUUCAAAUACGUAUUCUGGAAUCAUGUGCCUGGAGGUGUACUCGUUGUAUGGUGGUGUUCUUCCAAGAGCUACAAAGGUAGCUGUGGCUCCUAGUUCGUGUUCCAUCGGCAUACCCUCUAGAGUGGUAGUCCUACUUCAAGUGGACUGAGCAAGGUACCACAAUGCAACUGGUUUUCAGCUCUUUUCCCUUCAUCUCCUUAACUCUCACAUCUUUGUUUUCCUCCAAUAUUUUACAUGUAAAUAAGCUAAAGACGCAAGGGAAAAUAAGGUUUCAUAUCACACUCACGUUCACAUCCUAAGGCAGGGGUAUAUAUAUAUAAGACUUGUACACAUCUCUAAUCUUUGUUAGCCCUUCUUAUGAAACAAAUAUAUUGUGAGCAUGGGAUAUGUGUUGAGAAUGCCGUUCACGAAUCGUUUAUCAUGUGAGUAGACUGCAGAAUGAUAUUACCACUCUACUUGCAUGUUUAGUUUCCAAUCUCUUUACCGGGAAAUACCGAGGGAACUCACAAUUAAAGAAUGUACAGCAGUUUCUGAAUGAGUCUGUGGUUGAACGUCAAAUGCAUUUCCAAACAGGCUAAUCCUGAAUGACCCAAGUAACCAACCUUCAAGGACUGGUGUAACAAAACUUUUUGAGAAUCAAAAACAUAACCCAGAUCGGCUUGACAUAGACUUGAUUAGUGUUUUGUCAAAAAAAAACAGAGAUCUGUGCCCACCACCAUGUCAUCAUGUCAUCAUUCACUCUAUAGCCGUAAGGGCGCGUACAAUGAUGGCAUAUGGAUACAGAUGCCUCAUGACAAAAAGUAAUUUGAGGCAUAUGUGUUGGUUUUUUCUCUUCAAUGCAAGCUACUACUAGUGGGCCUUAUCAAAGAAUAGAAAGUGACUCUCACUACACAUGCAUCCCUCCUUUCCACUUCAACUUUUCUAACUUUAUGCACCGGACCACACUUUUUCUCUCUAAGCACCCGCCUCCUGAAGAGGAUCAUGCUUCCCUAUCCGAACCUACUUUUUCUGUUAUCCGAUCCUACAUGGCAUGUGAGGGCGGCAUCACCCUGAGGCUAUGCAUUGGCCAUACCCUACCCCCCCCCCCCAAAAGCACACCAUACCCGAGCACGACAACUGGGUGCGCCCAAAAACACCACUGCAUGAGCAUAUCUAAUAUUUCGGUCGCUGGAAAAACGGUCCAAAAACACGCUGGACUCAGCGGCACAAAGGGGCAAUGCAAAAGACACAUGACAAGCUAAAUGUAAAGCACCACUAGAUCAACCACUAGCAGAUCCAACGGCCAUGAAGUGCCAACAAGCAAGUCCAACAGCCAUAACGGCAAAUGCUACCAGUAAGUUUAUCUGCUGCAAGAAAAGUUACAGCUUACACUAUGUUCACAGGAAACAAGUCCAUUUGGUAAUAGAAAAUCUCUUGGCGGUUCAUCACCAUUUCUAUACAAUAUUAAUCAGAUGAAAAACCAGAAUACCAGGAGAGAGAGAGAAAAGCAGAAAUACACCCUGCUGGUUGACCUUAAAGAAUGCAUGAACUAAUAAUACAUAGCUAUGAGUACUUUUGCUGCAGUAGCCUUUGACAUGGGUAGCCUCUCCACACCUCCACUCACAUAUAUUGAUACAUACAUAUUUACAAAUGGACGAGGCAAACCAUCCUAGCCGAUGCUAAGCAGCAAUCAGCAAUUUUAUGAUAUGUUCUUAAGGGGCUAAAUCUGUCAGGUGCCAACAGAGGACACGUGUCGCCGGUGGCGCAAGCGGCUAAAUUUUGUGAUACAUUCUUCAGGGGGCUAACUCUGUUAACACAUACUGGAAAGGGGCUAAUUAUGCAAUAACAAAAAAAAAAUCCAAAUCAACCAUCCUAGCCGAUGCAAAGCAGCAAUCAGCAAGAUACUCCUUUUGCAAGGGGACUAUAGCAAGUUACACAUGCUAUUUGGCUGAAAACAACCUUUGAAGCAAAACUUACAAUCACUCAUAGAACCAGGUGUGAAGACACUUGGCAAGUUGUGGCAUCAGACCUCAGUAAGGCCGAAAAAACAUAAGAGCAAUGCCUUCAGUGAAUAGAUGUACUCUAUUAGAGUUAUGCUGGAACCACUAGCAGAGUAAACAGAGUCCAUGGCAAAUCUUCAAAUAAGAUGAGCUAAACAUUCAGCUACAAUUAUUCUUCUAAGAACAAGCAGCCCAGAAAAUUAAGGUGAUUCAAGUGCUUGUGCUCCAACUACGCCCUCAUCCCACCGUCCUUAAACCCACCUGAAAAGUUAUGAACAGAGUGAGAUAAACAGCUGGGCAAGUGGCAAAAGGUAAGUAUCGCCCAGAAAGCCCCGUGAUCUUUGCAACCGUAGUGACAACACACUUAACAAGCCAAGCUUCUGUAUUUAUUUCAUAAGCAUCGACAACAAUCUUGCUGAUUUAUGGCCAUACAUCUCAACUGCAUUCUCAUUCUAACCAAGAUAAGAUGUCAUAGCAGGGAUGCUUAACAGGCUUGGCUCGGAUUCUGGCCAGCGUUUGUCUACAGUCUGACAUAUCACACACAGUUUACAAAGAGAACUCAAUUGCACAGGAAGGAGAAUUCCCCUUAGCCCAACCCCAAAAACAAAAGUAAAAUAUGGGAUAUUGAUCACAAAUAUUGAACGUCACAGUCACCUGCCUUAACCAUGUGACAAAGAUUUGCUGGCAGAGAUGUAACCUGACGUGCGGCACUAGAACCUGAGAGUUGUAAUUAUAAGGUACAGCUCCUUAAAACACUUAUCAAACUAAAAACUAAAAGACACGCUCCUACGAUUUGACACGUCACCUCUCUUACAAUAUAAGUUCACUUCACAAUUUAGUAUCAGUUAUCUGUACAAACAAAUGUACAAGUUUACUGUUAUCACGAAAAUUUAAUUCAAUCAUGUCCAGAGAUUGAAAUUGUGCUACAAGAUAAAUGGGCUACAGUGAAGAACAACAAAGUAAUGCACAGGGUUGAAUUCAGAUUGCCAUAACUUGCAAUCUAGAAUCUACCCAACCAAUCUUCUCACACGCGACAUGUAGAUUAGAUUUUCUCCGUCUGUAAUAUAUAUGUGUUUUUGGCGGCGGCGGCGGCGGCGACUUGAUGUUAGAGGCGAGUGCAUGCGUGGAGUAUGAUGGUCUCUCGUCUCCAUUUCUGUUCUAAUUAGGCUUUCGCGUGUGGCUAAAGUUGGAGAGCUAGUGAUGUUUUGGAUUCUCUCUUUUCUACUCCUUCCGUCCCAUAAUAUAAGAGCGUUUCUGACACGAGUCUAGUGUCAAAAACACUCUUAUAUUAUGGAACGGAGGGAGUAUCUCAUAAAUGUCAGUCUUUGAAAUUGGGUCGUGAGGCAACCAAAAAUGGGGUGUUUUCUUUUCUUCUUACCGUCUCCUCCACCUAGUCCACCGUGUCUCCUUCUUGCCCAAGGUAUCUGCUAUACAAACGUUUUGUAUCCACCUCCCGUCAAAUCACUGGCGGUAACUUCCAUCCUAUCGUGAUAACAUUAUUCUCUUUCAAGAACCCGCCUUCCUUGAAUUUCUUACCAAGUUAAUUGACAAUGUCAAAAUUAAUUGCAUGACCCGGUAUAACUUUAGUGUGCAAGCACACCACCUUCAGCUCCUCAUUUGCACACUUCGGACCCAUUUGGACCACAGAAAUUUCACAAUUUGUUUUCUGCAUUUCACAAGAAACCAUCGAUUUUUGUACACAAAGGAUUACACUGUUACAAUCACUCAUGCACUGCUCGCUGGUUAGCCUCGUUUUACUGGUAUAUCCAGAUGGUCUGAAAUUGUAAACCGUAUCAGGUUUACUAUUGUGGAAAACUCUCACAUCCUGUUUAAGCAACUCAGCCUAGAAUUUGCAAGUAAAACACUUCAUUUCAUCUCAUCUCUUGCUGCUGUAGUAGCCUUCUACAUGGGUAGCCUCUCCACAUCUCCACUAACAUAUAUUGGUACAUACAUAUUUACGGAUGGACAAGGCAAACCAUCCUAGCUGAUGCAAAGCAGCAAUCCGCAAUUUUAUGAUAUGUUCUUAAGGGGCUAAAUCUGUAGGUGCCCACAGAGGACACGUGUUGCCGUCGGCGCAAGAGGCUCAAUUUUGCGAUACAUUCUUAAGUGGGCUAAGGCUGUUAACACAGACUCAAAAGGGGCUAACUAUGCCAAAAAGAAAACUAAAGCAACCAUUCUGGCCGAUGCAAAGCAGCAAUCACCAAGAUACUCCUAUUGCAAGGGAACAGUAGCAAGAUACACAUCACUAUUUGGCUGAAAACAAUCUUUGAAGCAAAACUUACAGUCACUCAUAGAACCAGGUGUAAAGACAGUUGGCAAGUUGUGGCAUCAGACCUCUGUAUAAAGCCAAAAAAAACAUAAGAGUGAUGCCUUCAGUGAAUAGAUGUACUCUAGAGUUAUGCUGGAACCACUAGCAGAGUAAACACAGUCCAUGCAAAAUCUUCAUGUAAGAUGAGCUAAACAUUCUGCUAUAAUUAUUCUUCUAAGAAAAUGCAGUCCAGAAAAUUAAGGUGGCGACCCGACAUAUAACAUUCUGUUUUCAGCAAUCUCUGUAAAAAAAAUGAAGCCUCUCUUGACUUGUUACAGCUGGCCAAUUUCUGCCAUGUGCUAGCUGCUACGAAACCAAUUUUCUAGGAGUACAUAACUGCAUGAACAACUACAACAUACAUCAUAUGAGUUUCAGAGUUUAUCAGGACUGAACGUUGAAGAAGAAGAAAAAGAGACAAUGUAAGGGUUUUUUUGGUGGGUGACACGCAUCACUGCACUGACUCGCAUAACUACACUGACUCAUAGUCAUCUCUAUUUGACAUAAAAAGUAGCAAACCAAGGCUUGUGUCGUUCUCGGUUCUCCCUUGUGAACUUGUGGCAUCGUAGCGUGGUCGCUUCUUUUUCCCACGAGAUGAAGAUGAAUAUGAUGGCCAUGGCUCUGCCAUCUCACUUUGCUGAUUUUCCACGAAUUUAAGUAGAUGGCAUGAGACAAAUAGGACAAAUGUUUGCUGAUUGUCUAUUUUGCACUUCAACAAGCAUCAAAAUGACAAGACUGGUUGAUUGUGAGCUGAAAAUUCAUAAACAUACACAGUCAUAGGAAUUCCAAUAAGUCUUCAAAAAUCUGAAAUAUGGAAAUGGUUUAGGAAACUGAGAAUAACUAAGAGAGAACUGAGAUAGAUAUGAUACCACACUCAAUCAUUUCAACUGAACUAGAAUGACUUGAAAGUUUACCAUAAAAUGUAAUCGGAAAAAUAAACAACAUAAGGGGUGGACAAAGUUCACUGAAAUUCCAUAGUAUAAGCUUCCUGCUGUUUAGGGGUUUUUGGCCAGUCAGGCCCCUUUAUGAAGUGGGGAAACUAUCACUUGCUAAUCCACUUGAAAUUUGUAAUACUCAUCUCUACUAUUUAGUAUACUUGCUAGUCCAGUGGAACUUCACAAGUCCGAGAAAUUGCCAGAUCAAAAUAGUCUCUGAACCUGCAAACAGACCACUUAAUCUACUUCUCAACGCACUGGAAUUUUUUGCAAGGUUUGUCUGUACUAAUUCUCCACUGCUACCCUACCAUGAAGAAGUAGCGAGUUCUCCACCAAUCCAGCUAGCAAUCAGAUCAAACACUAGGCAAAGAAAUUCCUCUCUGCAGCUAUAUAUCCAUACAGGUACCAUUUACUCCUGGAUCAAGCACUAACUGACGGACAGAGAAUGGAUGACUAACCUUCUAGUUGCAACCGCAGGACCUCUGACCUGACCUGCCGGUGGCUCACCGCGAUGGAUAGCGGACUAGCCUGCCAUCUAGGGUAAUUGCAGACGGCCAGAGUUGCAACGGAGGCCCCAUCGCGACACACGGUGACCUCCGUAGCUGGGAUCAGAUGUAUUUUUAAAAUUGAAUUAAAUAUGUACUGUCACCAUUCCAGAUUUUUGGUACAUAUGAACAAAAAUAAAUUUAUUCACGGGCCAUUCAACACUUUCAGCUCAUUGGAUAUUGGCUCAGAUCGAGUGCACAUAUCAUUAGCAUAUUUUGAACCAAAUCCAUAAUCAUAAAUUCCUCUGGUUUUAUUCAAACAAGCGGUGGAGAUGCCCCGUCCUCCUAGCAUUGUUUUUCUUUCUCAUGUAGGAUCUCUUCAUUCAGCCUUUAAUAUUAACUAGAAGAACGCCCGUGCGUUGCAACGGGCCACAUUAACUUUAAAAGUUCAAUAUCAAUUAUGUUAAUAUUACAUUUAAUAUUCUCAUACAUAUUAAGUGACAUUGACGACUUUUUUUACCAUCAAAUUCUCACACACACCCUCUCCCUCCCUCUUCCUCACUCUCUCUCCCCCUCUCCCUCACUCGGGAGGUGGGACGAAAAUAAAUCCGGAACGAAGAUUACCAACUGAGACAUUAGGAGUAGAGAUCAUUUAGUUGAUAAGAAUAAAUAGAAAACGGUGUUAAAAAAGGAGAAACUGAUUAGAAUACAUUGAAAAACCAAAAGAACGAUGUAAAAGGGGAUUCGCCCUGCCUCCCAGGCCUUGCGACCGAACCGGCUCAGCAGUCCAGUCCCCGCGCGGUCGUCUUCUCCUGUUCCCCGAGCCGCGUCGCUACAGAGACGGGCUCCCGCCCGACCACCUCGCUGGCAACGAAGGGGAAUGGAUAAGGGUGACACCCUUCCUUCCCUGCCCCCAUGGCCUCACCCCUCCUCGACGCCCCCUCCCAAAUCCACUUCUCCUCCUCGCUCGCUCGAUCCCGUCGAUCUGGACGAAGUCAGACGCCACGGCCACCAUGACCGACCCCGUCCACAUGGCCACUGCCCUCCCUGCGGGCUAGGAGCUUGUCGAGGAGCUCCGAACGCCUUCGCUACUUCGUCUGCGCCAACAAGAUCAAGUCCAGCACCCCCGCAUCGACGUCGCUGUUGUCUUCCUCAACCUUGGGCCGCCGCGACAUUGCCGUUCGAUCCGCGCCGCCCCGAGCUCCCAUGUCUUCCCCUAGGGCGCCAUUGACACCUCCAUGAUCUCCUCUUGCCUUUCCCAUGUUUCCUCUCUCGUUUGCUCUCGUUAGGUAUUUCGCCGUGGCCGAGAACCGCCGUCCGCCAUGGCCAUUGCAGGGGUAGCCACCGAGCUCCUCGGAUUGACCCCGUGGCACAUGCUCGCUCCUAUGCACGCCCAUGCCCGAGCCUGCCGCUCUUCUUCCGCGCCCGCGUGGCCACUCUCUCUCCAUGCCCACGCCCAUGCUACACCGCGUCGGUCGCGCCCGCCGCUGCCGUCGCGCUCGCCGCAGCCACCGCACCACUGUUCCCCGCGCGACACACACCCUGGCCGUGCACCACACUCUCGCUGGUUGCGCUCGCCCCGUCUGCUGCCGCCUAUCCCUUCGCUCGCCCCGCUGUCACGCCCCUGCCUCGCGCCGCCUCCAGUCGUGGCCAUCUUCUGCCGGCCGCCUCCUCAGCCACGCCGGCCGCAUCUCUGCCCUCCACCGUCGGCCGCUCGCCUCGCCUGCUGCGUGUUGCUUCCUGCUGCUAUGCGCUGCUCUACCGCUGGUACGCUGCUGCGCCAUGCCCUCGACACCGCUGUGGACAAAUGUGGCGGAGGGAUUGUUAAUGGAGUACGAGAAGGAGGUGGCGGAGAAGGUGUGGAGAGGCAGGAGGUCUGGGGCGGUGUCACCUGGCUGUGGUGGAGAUGUUUAUGCGAGAAGGAGCCGGAGUGGAAGGAGAGGUCACAAUUGGAAAGAAUCGCAAAAAAAAUCAUAACCCGGAGAUCUCGGUUCAAAAAAUGCUAAUAUCGAUAGAGGGGUGAUUUCCUUCAAUAGGUGGAAAACAUAGAAAAUAUUGGUUGUUAUCAAGGAAAGGUAAAAAUUUAGGAAAGUUAGGAUUUUUGAACUGAUUUCUAUGCAAAUGGGGUUUUAUUGUUUGGUAACGUGAUAUCAGUACCUGCCCGUUUGUGACGUGUCUGAUUAGGAAAGUUUGCAAAUGUUAAGAAACUAUUUAUUGGGAGGAAAGUUGUGACGUGUCUAUUAUUUGUUUCCUAAAACAAAUUUCACUAAUAAGAGAAAUCAAUUGAUUUAGAUAAGUUAGGAAAGUUGGAUUAAAAUGUAUUAUUUGUUUCCUGAAAAUCUGUUAUUUGUUUCCUAAGACAAAUUGAACCAAUAAAAGGAAUCGAUUGAUUUGCCUCAUUUAAGGAAUUUAGAUUAAAAUGUAUUAUUUGUUUCCUGAAAUUCUCUUAUUUGUUUCCUAAGACAAAUUAAACCAAUAAGAGGAAUCAAUUGAUUUGCAUAAUUUAAGAAAGUUAGAUUAAAAUGUAUUAUUUGUUUCAUGGAAAUCUGUUAUUUGUUUCCUAAGACAUAUUGAACCAAUAAAAAGAAUCGAUUGAUUUGCAUAAUUUAAGGAAGUUAGAUUAAAUGUAUUAAUUGUUUCCUGAAAAUCUGUUAUUUGUUUCCUAAGACAAAUUGAACCAAUGAAAGGAAUCGAUUGAUUUGCAUAAUUUAAGGAAGUUAGAUCCGUGUUUUGUUAUACGUUAGGAAAGUUCUUUUUUUUUAGGGGAAGUCAUGCCACUUUAUUUAAACGUAGCUAGGAAUCUCGUCUGAAAUUACAUCUAAAAAAAAGUCUGGUGGCGAGCCCACCCAAAUCUCCGAACGGUUCUCCCCUACCCCUACUUUUGCUAGUUUAUGAGCGGCUACAUUCCCAGACCGACGAAUCCAUGUCACCUUGGACUCCUCCAUAGACCGAAGCAUCGCUUUAAUCUCCUCCACCCAUGGGCCUGCAGCAGACAAAUCCUUCUGCGAGUCGUUAAGCUUCUUGACCAAAGACAAGCAAUCAAGCUCCAUAUGCACCCGUGUGAAGUUUAGAUCGAUCGCCAUUCGAACGCCUUGUCUGCACGCUAACACCUCGACCAUCUCAGGACCAACUGUAUUUGGGAAGAAGUGGCACAAUCCAGCGCAAAAUGCCGCUUGGUGAUCGCGAAGAACCGCUCCACCUCCUCCUUUCUCCCCGUGCCUGGAGACCGCGUCGUCGGAGUUGAUCUUUACCCAUCCAGCUUCAGGAGGUACCCAUCGCUGAAUAGUCUUUGGCUCCGAUUGUGACGCCCUCAUCUCGUGAGAUGCUCUCCAUUCUGCAACAUGCAUCUGCACUGUAGCUGUUAUUUCAUGUGCUGAUACAAUAUUCCGCCCGUCCCUUGCCUCAUUUCGUGCCAGCCAGAGGCUAUAGGCCGCCUGAAGCAUAACCUCCUUCUCGUCGUCCUUCGCCCGGGCAAACCAGUCAAGGAGCCAGGAAGCUAGAGCUCGCUGAGUCUGAAUGUGUCUCGGUGGUUCUUCCAACACCAAGCCGACCUGUUCCCUUAGUAACUCCCAGAACAUGACUGAAUGCUGGCAGCCCCAAAAUCUAUGCAAUAUAGUUUCUUCACGGGCACACACAACACAAAAAAUGCCCGGCUUGAUCCGACGUCGGUGAAGUUCUGCCCCUACAGCAAGCCCGUUGCGGAUCAUGCGCCACAUAUGAAUUUUGACCUUGCCCGGAGCACUUGUAUCCCACAGCUCCAAAUAUCCUUUGUGCAUAGCUACCGAACUCGAGGACUCCGGCUGUCCGGACCUCGUUAUGUUCAAGGCCAUUCGUAGGUGGUAUGCCGAUCUAACGGUAAAUACACCAUUACACGUAAAAUUCCAUGCACGAUAAUCAUCAGCCCCCGGGCCGCCAAUCACAAUUUGCUUCACGUCCGUAGCAUCUGCCACUGUAAACAUCUGAUCCACCAACUCCUCAUUCCACGACACACCAUCAGGGUUGAUUAAGUGAGCCACCUUGGUCACACCCUGUAUGUAUACUUGGCCUAGGGGUUUGGUGCUCCAUUCCGAGGUAUCCACGAGUCAUGGUGAAUGUUAAUGUUGAGCCCCGCCCCAACUCUCCAUAUGAGGCCCUCCCUUAGCAAGUCCCGGCCGUGCAAGAUACUCCUGAAAGUGAACGAGCCCGAGGCUGGGCAGGAAGCAGACAAAAUUGAAUUAUCUUGAAAAUACCUUGCUUUGAGCACUCUAGCACAUAGAGAGGUUGGAACUUCAAGAAUACGCCAUGCUUGUUUCGCCAACAAAGCUUGGUUGAAUGCCUCGGGGUCACGAAACCCCAUACCCCCAUGCCUCUUGCUCGCACACAUCUUCUCCCAAGCGAUCCAAUGGACCUUUCUCUCACCAUUCAUUGCACCCCACCAGAAUUUGGACCAGAUUGAAGUCAGGUUCCGGCACAUCUUCUUCGAGAGGUGAAAACAACUCAUGGUAUAGGUCGGUGUCGCUUGCAGGACAGAUUUGACGAGAGCUUCUCUAGCUGCUUUGGACAAUCCUUGCCCCUUCCAACCACACACUUUACCCUUAGCACACUCCGUAACAUAUUUAAAAGUGCCAUCCUUGGACCUACCAACCAGUGUUGGGAGGCCCAAGUAUCGUUCACUAAGAGCCUUAGAUUGAAUCCCCACAAUCUGCUUAAUCUGAUCCUUCAUCACAUCAUGGCUUCCUUUUCCAAAAAAGAUGGAGGAUUUCUGCACAUUUACCUUCUGUCCGGAUGAUUUCUCAUACUUUUCAAGGAUCUGUUUUAGUGUUUCCNNNNNNNNNNNNNNNNNNNNNNNNNNNNNNNNNNNNNNNNNNNNNNNNNNNNNNNNNNNNNNNNNNNNNNNNNNNNNNNNNNNNNNNNNNNNNNNNNNNNGAUGUCGAGGAUUCAAGCAACCCCGUAUACAAUUCCCUUUGUCAAUCGGUAUGCUACUUGCCCGAGAUUCGAUCGUCGGUAUCCCAAUACCUUGUUCAAUCUCGUUACCGGCAAGUCACUUUACUCGUAUCGUAAUGCAUGAUCCCAUGACCAGACACUUGGUCACUUUGAGCUCAUAAUGAUGAUGCAUUACCGAGUGGGCCCAGUGAUACCUCUCCGUCAUACGGAGUGACAAAUCCCAGUCUUGAUCCAUGUCAACCCAACAGACACUUUCGGAGAUACCCGUAGUAUACCUUUAUAGUCACCCAGUUACGUUGUGACGUUUGGUACACCCAAAGCACUCCUAUGGUAUCCGGGAGUUACACGAUCUCAUGGUCUAAGGAAAGGAUACUUGACAUUGGAAAAACUCUAGCAAACGAACUAUGCGAUCUUAUGCUAUGUUUAGGACUGGGUCUUUUCCAUCACAUCAUUCUCCUAAUGAUGUGAUCUCGUUAUCAAUGACAUCCAAUGUCCAUAGUCAGGAAACCAUGACUAUCUGUUGAUCAACGAGCUAGUCAACUAGAGGCUUACUAGGGACAUGUUGGUGUCUGUUAUUCACACAUGUAUUACGAUUUCCGGAUAACACAAUUAUAGCAUGAAUAAAGACAAUUAUCAUGAACAAGGAAAUAUAAUAAUAAUGCUUUUAUUAUUGCCUCUAGGGCAUAUUUCCAACAAUAUGAGCAUCUAGGUUCUGCUAUUUGUUAUUGACCGGAGACGAGUCUCGGUCAUGUCUACAAAGUUCUCGAACCCGUAGGGUCCGCACGCAUAAAGUUCGGUGACGAUCGGUAAUAUGAGUUUAUGUGUUUUGAUGUACCGAAGGUAGUUUGGAGUCCUGUAUAUGAUCACGGACAUGACGAGGAGUCUCGAAAUGGUCGAGACAUAAAGAUUGAUAUAUUAGAAGCCUAUAUUUGGACAUCGGAAUAGUUCCGGAUGAAAUCGAGAUUUUACCAGAGUGCCGGAGGGGUUACUGGAACCCCUGCCCUAGUGGAGAGAGAGAGGGGCCGGCCAGAGCAGGCCGCGCGCCCCCUCCCCUUGAGUCCGAAUAGGACAAGGAAGGGGGGCGGCGCCCCCCUGCCUUUCCUCUCUCCCACUCCUUCCUUCCCCCUCCUAGUGGGACUAGGAAAGGGGAGUCCUACUCCCACUAGGAGGAGGACUCCUCCUCCUGGCACGCCCUGCUAGGGCCGGCCGGCCUCCCCCCUUGCUCCUUUAUAUACGGGGGCAGGGGGCACCCCAAGACACAAGUUGAUCAGUUGAUCUUUUAGCCGUGUGCGGUGCCCCCCUCCACCAUAAUCCACCUCGGUCAUAUCGUAGCGGUGCUUAGGCGAAGCCCUGCGUCGGUAGCAUCAUCAUCACCAUCAUCACGCCAUCGUGCUGACGGAACUAUCCCUCGAAGCUCUGCUGGAUCGGAGUUCGUGGGACGUCACCGAGCUAAACGUGUGCUGAACUCGGAGGUGCCGUGCGUCCGGUACUUGGAUCGGUCGGAUCGUGAAGACGUACGACUACAUCAACCGCGUUCUCAUAAUGCUUCCGCUUACGGUCUACGAGGGUACGUGGACGACACUCUCUCCUCUCGUUGCUAUGCAUCACCAUGAUCUUGCGUGUGCGUAGAAUUUUUUUUGAAAUUACUGUGUUCCCCAACAGUUAUUGUGAGAUAAUGAAAAACGGAAUAAAGGGACACAUGGAAUUCUUUUUAUCAUACUAACGAGUUUCAAAACAUAGAACGGAAGCAACAAAAAUGAAGGCAGAGCGCUAAAAUUUCAGUAACGUUUUAGAAGAUAUAAAAUGCAGUGCCCUUUUAUUGAUCACUGCCUAUAGCCAUAUAAAUGAGGUCUGGGACUCGGUUCGCUCCAAUAUGCCUAUAGAAAGCACAUUUCCUCUGAUGCACAUAUAAAAUUUGACAGUCCAAAACAGAAAAACGCUGAGAUAUACGGAUGAUAUAAUGCUGUAACUAACUUGGAUAUCCUUCCAGUGACCACAGAAUGGACAAAUUUUCUUCUCAGACGUCGAAAAGGGAUGGAACCUCCACACCCACUGCUUCUCCUCCACCUGCAUAGCGUGCGUAGGCAGAAAUUUGAUGAUUAUUUGAAGUGACAUCCACAUAGAGAAGGAUUUAUUCUGCUAGCAAAGCACAAAUGUAGAUCACUGUCAGGCUACAAGACUGAACUGCUCGAUGACCUUCUUGAUUCAUGCAGCUGAUAUGCAAAUGGGUGUGCCCCUUAAAUUCAUGUGAAUCGAAUCGCAGAAGAGACUGACAAACAGGGUUGAUACCUUAUUGCUUGUGUUGACGGGAAGACCGGAGUGGCUGCCGUCGACGUACGGCCCGCACCCGAUGAAGAUCUCGGAGACCUUCUUGCACAUAGAAUGGUAAUUAAUUAAAGAAGUAAGAGGGCCCAUUGUAACUCAUCCCUUUUUAAUAAUGAUAUAUAAAAUAUCCUUCUGUCACCGAUUUGCACCUACGUACAUCAAUUAUUUCUAAUGAUGGUAGAGGAAUCACAUACUGGAGAGGAUAAUAUGGGAGAAAGGGAUCAGAAGAACAGAGGAAGAGGGAGAGAUGAAGAACAGAGUGGUAAGUAAGAGUUCAGGUAAAUUCUCAUUUAAUCGAUACGUUACAGGGAUGGCACUUGACCCUUUUAAACACACAUGCAGUCUCUUACAAGUCGGACCCUUGAGUCCAUAUACCCAGUGCACUAGAUAAUCUUCUUACACCUCACUCAUCCAUCGUCUCUAUAUGGCUGACGGGCCUUCAUCGGCCAUAUCCCAGUCCUCCUCGUCCAGCAUGCUCCGUCGGAUUGGGAUCUGAUUGACCAGUGUGCCCAUGGUUGAGGGCACAGGCGUGACACGAACAUUGCUCCAGGGUCUCCUCAAAGAUGUCAUUUUCCACAUUGGCAUGCCUAAAAGACACAGUUAGAUUUUUGGCAACCUGUUGCUUCAAAUACGUAUUCUGGAAUCAUGUGCCUGGAGGUGUACUCGUUGUAUGGUGGUGUUCUUCCAAGAGCUACAAAGGUAGCUGUGGCUCCUAGUUCGUGUUCCAUCGGCAUACCCUCUAGAGUGGUAGUCCUACUUCAAGUGGACUGAGCAAGGUACCACAAUGCAACUGGUUUUCAGCUCUUUUCCCUUCAUCUCCUUAACUCUCACAUCUUUGUUUUCCUCCAAUAUUUUACAUGUAAAUAAGCUAAAGACGCAAGGGAAAAUAAGGUUUCAUAUCACACUCACGUUCACAUCCUAAGGCAGGGGUAUAUGUAUAUAAGACUUGUACACAUCUCUAAUCUUUGUUAGCCCUUCUUAUGAAACAAAUAUAUUGUGAGCAUGGGAUAUGUGUUGAGAAUGCCAUUCACGAAUCGUUUAUCAUGUGAGUAGACUGCAGAAUGAUAUUACCACUCUACUUGCAUGUUUAGUUUCCAAUCUCUUUACCGGGAAAUACCGAGGGAACUCACAAUUAAAGAAUGUACAGCAGUUUCUGAAUGAGUCUGUGGUUGAACGUCAAAUGCAUUUCCAAACAGGCUAAUCCUGAAUGACCCAAGUAACCAACCUUCAAGGACUGGUGUAACAAAACUUUUUGAGAAUCAAAAACAUAACCCAGAUCGGCUUGACAUAGACUUGAUUAGUGUUUUGUCAAAAAAAACAGAGAUCUGUGCCCACCACCAUGUCAUCAUGUCAUCAUUCACUCUAUAGCCGUAAGGGCGCGUACAAUGAUGGCAUAUGGAUACAGAUGCCUCAUGACAAAAAGUAAUUUGAGGCAUAUGUGUUGGUUUUUUCUCUUCAAUGCAAGCUACUACUAGUGGGCCUUAUCAAAGAAUAGAAAGUGACUCUCACUACACAUGCAUCCCUCCUUUCCACUUCAACUUUUCUAACUUUAUGCACCGGACCACACUUUUUCUCUCUAAGCACCCGCCUCCUGAAGAGGAUCAUGCUUCCCUAUCCGAACCUACUUUUUCUGUUAUCCGAUCCUACAUGGCAUGUGAGGGCGGCAUCACCCUGAGGCUAUGCAUUGGCCAUACCCUACCCCCCCCCCCAAAAAAGCACACCAUACCCGAGCACGACAACUGGGUGCGCCCAAAAACACCACUGCAUGAGCAUAUCUAAUAUUUCGGUCGCUGGAAAAACGGUCCAAAAACACGCUGGACUCAGCGGCACAAAGGGGCAAUGCAAAAGACACAUGACAAGCUAAAUGUAAAGCACCACUAGAUCAACCACUAGCAGAUCCAACGGCCAUGAAGUGCCAACAAGCAAGUCCAACAGCCAUAACGGCAAAUGCUACCAGUAAGUUUAUCUGCUGCAAGAAAAGUUACAGCUUACACUAUGUUCACAGGAAACAAGUCCAUUUGGUAAUAGAAAAUCUCUUGGCGGUUCAUCACCAUUUCUAUACAAUAUUAAUCAGAUGAAAAACCAGAAUACCAGGAGAGAGAGAGAAAAGCAGAAAUACACCCUGCUGGUUGACCUUAAAGAAUGCAUGAACUAAUAAUACAUAGCUAUGAGUACUUUUGCUGCAGUAGCCUUUGACAUGGGUAGCCUCUCCACACCUCCACUCACAUAUAUUGAUACAUACAUAUUUACAAAUGGACGAGGCAAACCAUCCUAGCCGAUGCUAAGCAGCAAUCAGCAAUUUUAUGAUAUGUUCUUAAGGGGCUAAAUCUGUCAGGUGCCAACAGAGGACACGUGUCGCCGGUGGCGCAAGCGGCUAAAUUUUGUGAUACAUUCUUCAGGGGGCUAACUCUGUUAACACAUACUGGAAAGGGGCUAAUUAUGCAAUAACAAAAAAAAAUCCAAAUCAACCAUCCUAGCCGAUGCAAAGCAGCAAUCAGCAAGAUACUCCUUUUGCAAGGGGACUAUAGCAAGUUACACAUGCUAUUUGGCUGAAAACAACCUUUGAAGCAAAACUUACAAUCACUCAUAGAACCAGGUGUGAAGACACUUGGCAAGUUGUGGCAUCAGACCUCAGUAAGGCCGAAAAAACAUAAGAGCAAUGCCUUCAGUGAAUAGAUGUACUCUAUUAGAGUUAUGCUGGAACCACUAGCAGAGUAAACAGAGUCCAUGGCAAAUCUUCAAAUAAGAUGAGCUAAACAUUCAGCUACAAUUAUUCUUCUAAGAACAAGCAGUCCAGAAAAUUAAGGUGAUUCAAGUGCUUGUGCUCCAACUACGCCCUCAUCCCACCGUCCUUAAACCCACCUGAAAAGUUAUGAACAGAGUGAGAUAAACAGCUGGGCAAGUGGCAAAAGGUAAGUAUCGCCCAGAAAGCCCCGUGAUCUUUGCAACCGUAGUGACAACACACUUAACAAGCCAAGCUUCUGUAUUUAUUUCAUAAGCAUCGACCACAAUCUUGCUGAUUUAUGGCCAUACAUCUCAACUGCAUUCUCAUUCUAACCAAGAUAAGAUGUCAUAGCAGGGAUGCUUAACAGGCUUGGCUCGGAUUCUGGCCAGCCUUUGUCUACAGUCUGACAUAUCACACACAGUUUACAAAGAGAACUCAAUUGCACAGGAAGGAGAAUUCCCCUUAGCCCAACCCCAAAAACAAAAGUAAAAUAUGGGAUAUUGAUCACAAAUAUUGAACGUCACAGUCACCUGCCUUAACCAUGUGACAAAGAUUUGCUGGCAGAGAUGUAACCUGACGUGCGGCACUAGAACCUGAGAGUUGUAAUUAUAAGGUACAGCUCCUUAAAACACUUAUCAAACUAAAAACUAAAAGACACGCUCCUACGAUUUGACACGUCACCUCUCUUACAAUAUAAGUUCACUUCACAAUUUAGUAUCAGUUAUCUGUACAAACAAAUGUACAAGUUUACUGUUAUCACGAAAAUUUAAUUCAAUCAUGUCCAGAGGUUGAAAUUGUGCUACAAGAUAAAUGGGCUACAGUGAAGAACAACAAAGUAAUGCACAGGGUUGAAUUCAGAUUGCCAUAACUUGCAAUCUACCCAACCAAUCUUCUCGCACGCGACAUGUAGAUUAGAUUUUCUCCGUCUGUAAUAUAUAUGUGUUUUUGGCGGCGGCGACGGCGGUGACUUGAUGUUAGAGGCGAGUGCAUGCGUGGAGUAUGAUGGUCUCUCGUCUCCAUUUCUGUUCUAAUUAGGCUUUUGCGUGUGGCUAAAGUUGGAGAGCUAGUGAUGUUUUGGAUUCUCUCUUUUCUACUCCUUCCGUCCCAUAAUAUAAGAGCGUUUCUGACACGAGUCUAGUGUCAAAAACACUCUUAUAUUAUGGAACGGAGGAAGUAUCUCAUAAAUGUCAGUCUUUGAAAUUGGGUCGUGAGGCAACCAAAAAUGGGGUGUUUUCUUUUCUUCUUACCGUCUCCUCCACCUAGUCCACCGUGUCUCCUUCUUGCCCAAGGUAUCUGCUAUACAAACGUUUUGUAUCCACCUCCCGUCCAAUCACUGGCGGUAACUUCCAUCCUAUCGUGAUAACAUUAUUCUCUUUCAAGAACCCGCCUUCCUUGAAUUUCUUACCAAGUUAAUUGACGAUGUCAAAAUUAAUUGCAUGACCCGGUAUAACUUUAGUGUGCAAGCACACCACCUUCAGCUCCUCAUUUGCACACUUCGGACCCAUUUGGACCACAGAAAUUUCACAAUUUGUUUUCUGCAUUUCACAAGAAACCAUCGAUUUUUGUACACAAAGGAUUACACUGUUACAAUCACUCAUGCACUGCUCGCUGGUUAGCCUCGUUUUACUGGUAUAUCCAGAUGGUCUGAAAUUGUAAACCGUAUCAGGUUUACUAUUGUGGAAAACUCUCUCAUCCUGUUUAAGCAACUCAGCCUAGAAUUUGCAAGUAAAACACUUCAUUUCAUCUCACCUCUUGCUGCUGUAGUAGCCUUCUACAUGGGUAGCCUCUCCACAUCUCCACUAACAUAUAUUGGUACAUACAUAUUUACGGAUGGACAAGGCAAACCAUCCUAGCUGAUGCAAAGCAGCAAUCCGCAAUUUUAUGAUAUGUUCUUAAGGGGCUAAAUCUGUAGGUGCCCACAGAGGACACGUGUUGCCGUCGGCGCAAGAGGCUCAAUUUUGCGAUACAUUCUUAAGUGGGCUAAGGCUGUUAACACAGACUCAAAAGGGGCUAACUAUGCCAAAAAAAAAAACUAAAGCAACCAUUCUGGCCGAUGCAAAGCAGCAAUCACCAAGAUACUCCUAUUGCAAGGGAACAGUAGCAAGAUACACAUCACUAUUUGGCUGAAAACAAUCUUUGAAGCAAAACUUACAGUCACUCAUAGAACCAGGUGUAAAGACAGUUGGCAAGUUGUGGCAUCAGACCUCUGUAUAAAGCCAAAAAAAAACAUAAGAGUGAUGCCUUCAGUGAAUAGAUGUACUCUAGAGUUAUGCUGGAACCACUAGCAGAGUAAACACAGUCCAUGCAAAAUCUUCAUGUAAGAUGAGCUAAACAUUCUGCUAUAAUUAUUCUUCUAAGAAAAUGCAGUCCAGAAAAUUAAGGUGGCGACCCGACAUAUAACAUUCUGUUUUCAGCAAUCUCUGUAAAAAAAAUGAAGCCUCUCUUGACUUGUUACAGCUGGCCAAUUUCUGCCAUGUGCUAGCUGCUACGAAACCAAUUUUCUAGGAGUACAUAACUGCAUGAACAACUACAACAUACAUCAUAUGAGUUUCAGAGUUUAUCAGGACUGAACGUUGAAGAAGAAGAAAACGAGACAAUGUAAGGGUUUUUUUGGUGGGUGACACGCAUCACUACACUGACUCGCAUAACUACACUGACUCAUAGUCAUCUCUAUUUGACAUAGAAAGUAGCAAACCAAGGCUUGUGUCGUUCUCGGUUCUCCCUUGUGAACUUGUGGCAUCGUAGCGUGGUCGCUUCUUUUUCCCACGAGAUGAAGAUGAAUAUGAUGGCCAUGGCUCUGCCAUCUCACUUUGCUGAUUUUCCAUUCGAAUUUAAGUAGAUGGCAUGAGACAAAUAGGACAAAAUGUUUGCUGAUUGUCUAUUUUGCACUUCCACAAGCAUCAAAAUGACAAGACUGGUUGAUUGUGAGCUGAAAAUUCAUAAACAUACACAGUCAUAGGAAUUCCAAUAAGUCUUCAAAAAUCUGAAAUAUGGAAAUGGUUUAGGAAACUGAGAAUAACUAAGAGAGAACUGAGAUAGAUAUGAUACCACACUCAAUCAUUUCAACUGAACUAGAAUGACUUGAAAGUUUACCAUAAAAUGUAAUCGGAAAAAUAAACAACAUAAGGGGUGGACAAAGUUCACUGAAAUUCCAUAGUAUAAGCUUCCUGCUGUUUAGGGGUUUUUGGCCAGUCAGGCCCCUUUAUGAAGUGGGGAAACUAUCACUUGCUAAUCCACUUGAAAUUUGUAAUACUCAUCUCUACUAUUUAGUAUACUUGCUAGUCCAGUGGAACUUCACAAGUCCGAGAAAUUGCCAGAUCAAAAUAGUCUCUGAACCUGCAAACAGACCACUUAAUCUACUUCUCAACGCACUGGAAUUUUUUGCAAGGUUUGUCUGUACUAAUUCUCCACUGCUACCCUACCAUGAAGAAGUAGCGAGUUCUCCACCAAUCCAGCUAGCAAUCAGAUCAAACACUAGGCAAAGAAAUUCCUCUCUGCAGCUAUAUAUCCAUACAGGUACCAUUUACUCCUGGAUCAAGCACUAACUGACGGACAGAGAAUGGAUGACUAACCUUCUAGUUGCAACCGCAGGACCUCUGACCUGACCUGCCGGUGGCUCACCGCGAUGGAUAGCGGACUAGCCUGCCAUCUAGGGUAAUUGCAGACGGCCAGAGUUGCAACGGAGGCCCCAUCGCGACACACGGUGACCUCCGUAGCUGGGAUCAGAUGUAUUUUUAAAAUUGAAUUAAAUAUGUACUGUCACCAUUCCAGAUUUUUGGUACAUAUGAACAAAAAUAAAUUUAUUCACGGGCCAUUCAACACUUUCAGCUCAUUGGAUAUUGGCUCAGAUCGAGUGCACAUAUCAUUAGCAUAUUUUGAACCAAAUCCAUAAUCAUAAAUUCCUCUGGUUUUAUUCAAACAAGCGGUGGAGAUGCCCCGUCCUCCUAGCAUUGUUUUUCUUUCUCAUGUAGGAUCUCUUCAUUCAGCCUUUAAUAUUAACUAGAAGAACGCCCGUGCGUUGCAACGGGGCCACAUUAACUUUAAAAUUUCAAUAUCAAUUAUGUUAAUAUUACAUUUAAUAUUCUCAUACAUAUUAAGUGACAUUGACGACUUUUUUUACCAUCAAAUUCUCACACACACACUCUCUCCCUCCCUCUUCCUCACUCUCUCUCCCCCUCUCCCUCACUCGGGAGGUGGGACGAAAAUAAAUCCGGAACGAAGACUACCAACUGAGACAUUAGGAGUAGAGAUCAUUUAGUUGAUAAGAAUAAAUAGAAAACGGUGUUAAAAAAGGAGAAACUGAUUAGAAUACAUUGAAAAACCAAAAGAACGAUGUAAAAGGGGAUUCGCUCUGCCUCCCAGGCCUUGCGACCGAACCGGCUCAGCAGUCCAGUCCCCGCGCGGUCGUCUUCUCCUGUUCCCCGAGCCGCGUCGCUACAGAGACAGGCUCCCGCCCGACCACCUCGCUGGCAAUGAAGGGGAAUGGAUAAGGGUGACACCCUUCCUUCCCUGCCCCCAUGGCCUCACCCCGCCUCGACGCCCCCUCCCAAAUCCACUUCUCCUCCUCGCUCGCUCGAUCCCGUCGAUCUGGACGAAGUCAGACGCCACGGCCACCAUGACCGACCCCGUCCACAUGGCCACUGCCCUCCCUGCGGGCUAGGAGCUUGUCAAGGAGCUCCGAACGCCUUCGCUACUUCGUCUGCGCCAACAAGAUCAAGUCCAGCACCCCCGCAUCGACGUCGCUGCUGUCUUCCUCAACCUUGGGCCGCCGCGACAUUGCCGUUCGAUCCGCGCCGCCCCGAGCUCCCAUGUCUUCCCCUAGGGCGCCAUUGACACCUCCAUGAUCUCCUCUUGCCUUUCCCCUGUUUCCUCUCUCAUUUGCUCUCGUUAGGUAUUUCGCCGUGGCCGAGAACCGCCGUCCGCCAUGGCCAUUGCAGGGGUAGCCACCGAGCUCCUCGGAUUGACCCCGUGGCACAUGCCCGCUCCUAUGCACGCCCAUGCCCGAGCCUGCCGCUCUUCUUCCGCGCCCGCGUGGCCACUCUCUCUCCAUGCCCACGCCCAUGCUACACCGCGUCGGUCGCGCCCGCCGCUGCCGUCGCGCUCGCCGCAGCCACCGCACCACUGUUCCCCGCGCGACACACACCCUGGCCGUGCACCACACUCUCGCUGGUUGCGCUCGCCCCGUCUGCUGCCGCCUAUCCCUUCGCUCGCCCCGCUGUCACGCCCCUGCCUCGCGCCGCCUCCAGUCGUGGCCAUCUUCUGCCGGCCGCCUCCUCAGCCACGCCGGCCGCAUCUCUGCCCUCCACCGUCGGCCGCUCGCCUCGCCUGCUGCGUGUUACUUCCUGCUGCUAUGCGCUGCUCUACCGCUGGUACGCUGCUGCGCCAUGCCCUCGACACCGCUGUGGACAAAUGUGGCGGAGGGAUUGUUAAUGGAGUACGAGAAGGAGGUGGCGGAGAAGGUGUGGAGAGGCAGGAGGUCUGGGGCGGUGUCACCUGGCUGUGGUGGAGAUGUUUAUGCGAGAAGGAGCCGGAGUGGAAGGAGAGGUCACAAUUGGAAAGAAUCGCAAAAAAAACAUAACCCGGAGAUCUCGGUUCAAAAAAUGCUAAUAUCGAUGGAGGGGUGAUUUCCUUCAAUAGGUGGAAAACAUAGAAAAUAUUGGUUGUUAUCAAGGAAAGGUAAAAAUUUUAGGAAAGUUAGGAUUUUUGAACUGAUUUCUAUGCAAAUGGGGUUUUAUUGUUUGGUAACGUGAUAUCAGUACCUGCCCGUUUGUGACGUGUCUGAUUAGGAAAGUUUGCAAAUGUUAAGAAACUAUUUAUUGGGAGGAAAGUUGUGACGUGUCUAUUAUUUGUUUCCUAAAACAAAUUUCACUAAUAAGAGAAAUCAAUUGAUUUAGAUAAGUUAGGAAAGUUGGAUUAAAAUGUAUUAUUUGUUUCCUGAAAAUCUGUUAUUUGUUUCCUAAGACAAAUUGAACCAAUAAAAGGAAUCGAUUAAUUUGCCUCAUUUAAGGAAUUUAGAUUAAAAUGUAUUAUUUGUUUCCUGAAAUUCUCUUAUUUGUUUCCUAAGACAAAUUAAACCAAUAAGUGGAAUCAAUUGAUUUGCAUAAUUUAAGGAAGUCAGAUUAAAAUGUAUUAUUUAUUUCCUGGAAAUCUGUUAUUUGUUUCCUAAGACAAAUUGAACCAAUAAAAGGAAUCGAUUGAUUUGCAUAAUUUAAGGAAGUUAGAUUAAAUGUAUUAAUUGUUUCCUGAAAAUCUGUUAUUUGUUUCCUAAGACAAAUUGAACCAAUGAAAGGAAUCGAUUGAUUUGCAUAAUUUAAGGAAGUUAGAUCCGUGUUUUGUUAUACGUUAGGAAAGUUCUUUUUUUUGAGGGGAAGUCAUGCCACUUUAUUUAAACGUAGCUAGGAAUCUCGUCUGAAAUUACAUCUAAAAAAAGUUCUGGUGACGAGCCCACCCAAAUCUCCGAACGGUUCUCCCCUACCCCUACUUUUGCUAGUUUAUGAGCGGCUACAUUCCCAGACCGACGAAUCCAUGUCACCUUGGACUCCUCCAUAGACCGAAGCAUCGCUUUAAUCUCCUCCACCCAUGGGCCUGCAGCAGACAAAUCCUUCUGCGAGUCGUUAAGCUUCUUGACCAAAGACAAGCAAUCAAGCUCCAUAUGCACCCGUGUGAAGUUUAGAUCGAUCGCCAUUCGAACGCCUUGUCUGCACGCUAACACCUCGACCAUCUCAGGACCAACUGUAUUUGGGAAGAAGUGGCACAAUCCAGCGCGAAACGCCGCUUGGUGAUCGCGAAGAACCGCUCCACCUCCUCCUUUCUCCCCGUGCCUGGAGACCGCGUCGUCGGAGUUGAUCUUUACCCAUCCAGCUUCAGGAGGUACCCAUCGCUGAAUAGUCUUUGGCUCCGAUUGUGACGCCCUCGUCUCGUGAGAUGCUCUCCAUUCUGCAACAUGCAUCUGCACUGUAGCUGUUAUUUCAUGUGCUGAUACAAUAUUCCGCCCAUCCCUUGCCUCAUUCCGUGCCAGCCAGAGGCUAUAGGCCGCCUGAAGCAUAACCUCCUUCUCGUCGUCCUUCGCCCGGGCAAACCAGUCAAGGAGCCAGGAAGCUAGAGCUCGCUGAGUCUGAAUGUGUCUCGGUGGUUCUUCCAACACCAAGCCGACCUGUUCCCUUAGUAACUCCCAGAACAUGACUGAAUGCUGGCAGCCCCAAAAUCUAUGCAAUAUAGUUUCUUCACGGGCACACACAACACAAAUAACGCCCGGCUUGAUCCGACGUCGGUGAAGUUCUGCCCCUACAGCAAGCCCGUUGCGGAUCAUGCGCCACAUAUGAAUUUUGACCUUGCCCGGCGCACUUGUAUCCCACAGCUCCAAAUAUCCUUUGUGCAUAGCUACCGAACUCGAGGACUCCGGCUGUCCGGACCUCAUUCUGUUCAAGGCCAUUCGUAGGUGGUAUGCCGAUCUAACGGUAAAUACACCAUUACGCGUAAAAUUCCAUGCACGAUAAUCAUCAGCCCCCGGGCCGCCAAUCACAAUUUGCUUCACGUCCGUAGCAUCUGCCACUGUAAACAUCUGAUCCACCAACUCCUCAUUCCACGACACACCAUCAGGGUUGAUUAAGUGAGCCACCUUGGUCACACCCUGUAUGUAUACUUGGCCUAGGGGUUUGGUGCUCCAUUCCGAGGUAUCCACGAGUCGUGGUGAAUGUUAAUGUUGAGCCCCGCCCCAACUCUCCAUAUGAGGCCCUCCCUUAGCAAGUCCCGGCCGUGCAAGAUACUCCUGAAAGUGAACGAGCCCGAGGCUGGGCAGGAAGCAGACAAAAUUGAAUUAUCUUGAAAAUACCUUGCUUUGAGCACUCUAGCACAUAGAGAGGUUGGAACUUGAAGAAUACGCCAUGCUUGUUUCGCCAACAAAGCUUGGUUGAAUGCCUCGGGGUCACGAAACCCCAUACCCCCAUGCCUCUUGCUCGCACACAUCUUCUCCCAAGCGAUCCAAUGGACCUUUCUCUCACCAUUCAUUGCACCCCACCAGAAUUUGGACGAGAUUGAAGUCAGGUUCCAGGCUUCCAGCACAUCUUCUUCGAGAGGUGAAAACAACUCAUGGUAUAGGUCGGUGUCGCUUGCAGGACAGAUUUGACGAGAGCUUCUCUAGCUGCUUUGGACAAUCCUUGCCCCUUCCAACCACACACUUUACCCUUAGCACACUCCGUAACAUAUUUAAAAGUGCCAUCCUUGGACCUACCAACCAGUGUUGGGAGGCCCAAGUAUCGUUCCAUAAGAGCCUCAGAUUGAAUCCCCACAAUCUGCUUAAUCUGAUCCUUCAUCACAUCAUGGCUUCCUUUUCCAAAAAAGAUGGAGGAUUUCUGCACAUUUACCUUCUGUCCGGAUGAUUUCUCAUACUUUUCAAGGAUCUGUUUUAGUGUUUCCAUUUUCUCCUUGGUUCCCUCAAGGAAAACUAUACUAUCAUCUGCAAACAACAAGUGAGUUAUAUGGGGGCCAGUGCUCCCACACUUCACCCCGGAAAGUUGUUUGUCAGUUUGAGCCUUCUUGAGUAGCGCUGAAAAACCCUCCACGCGGAAGAGGAACAAAUAUGGUGACAACGGAUCCCCCUGUCUUAAACCCCGAGAAGGUGUAAAGCUCCUCGAUAGCCCACCAUUUAACUUUACAGAAAAACGCGCCGAGGUGACGCAUCUCAUUAUCAUUGCGACCCACAUCGGAUCAAAACCAAAACGUGUCAUAACCCUUUCCAGGAAUAUCCGCUCCACUCGGUCAUACGCUUUCAUCAUAUCCAACUUAAUCGCACACAAACUCUUCUUUCUUUUCCUUUUUCGGAUAGCGUGUACACACUCAUAUGCCACCAACACAUUAUCAGUGAUCAGACGCCCGGGCACAAAAGCGCUUUGUUCUUCAGAGAUUAAAAGUGGAAGAAUACCGUUCAACCUAUUCGCCAACACCUUGGUGGCAAUCUUGUACAAGACGUUGCAUAAACUGAUGGGGCGGAACUGUGAAAGCAACUCCGGUGAGUUAACUUUCGGAAUCAUGACAAUGAUUGUAUCAUUAAAAUCAGCCGGGGUCAAAGCCCCACUCAAAAAACCCCGAACGGUCGUGCAUACAUCACUCUUCACCAAUGACCAGUGUCUUUGGUAAAAGAGAGCAGGUAACCCGUCUGGCCCCGGCGCUUUCGUCGGCCCCAUUUGAAACAACGCAGCUUCAAUUUUCACAUCGGAGAUAGCAGAUGUUAGCUUGGCGUUCAUAUCGUCCGAGACCAGCUGAUUAAUAUUUUCUAGUAUCUCCUGUGCAUCCACUGAUCCUUCUGAUGUAAACAAAGAUUCAUAAAAACUGGCUGCCAACUCAUGCAUCUCCUCGUCUACCAUACAUCUCGUACCAUCCUCCCUGCGCAAAGCACGAAUGGUGUUUUUCCUCUUGCGAUGCGAUGCCCGAUUCUGAAAAUAUUUUGUGUUUUGGUCACCCGCAUGCAACCAGUCCACACGCGAUCGCUGCCGGUACAACAGCUCCUCCCUAGCAUAGAUUUCGCGCAGCUGUUUUUCAAUCUCUCGGACCUCCAGUGAGGUACCAGAGAUGUCAGCCCUGCUUCGUGCGUCUGCGAGCUGCGUCUUCAACUUCGAUAUCUGCCUCCGGAUGGAUCCGAACACCUCCCGUGCCCAGUGCUGCAUACUCCCAGUCAUCUUGCUCAGUUUUGCCCACACUCCCGCCACCGUGUUUUCAUCUGUACUCGCGUCUGACCAGGCCUUGGCGAUCAUGGUGUCAUAUUGCGCGUGCCUCGUCCAAGCCUCUUCAAACUGAAACGGCCUUGGCCCUCUAUCCCUUGCGCGCGGAGCCGUCUCCAGCGCUCUAACCAGGAUAGCUUGCUGAUCUGACUCCUCUGUCACUAGGUGUUCCACAUAUGUUUCAGGGAAUAGCUCCAAAAAUGUGUCCGUGCACGUAGCUCUGUCCAGUCGUACCUUAAUGUUUUCUGUCCCGUCACGUUUGUUAUCCCAUGUGUAUGGGUAACCACAGAACCCCAGAUCUGCUAGACCGCACUCCGCCAAACAAUCCCUAAAGUCCUCCAUCUGCGCAAAAGGUCGAUGAUUACCUCCUAGCUGGUCAGUUUGGAAUAGAGCUUCAUUGUAGUCUCCAACACAAAUCCAUGGGAGAUCGUCUUGUCAUUUAGGAACCUAAUCGCAUCCCAUGAUUUCUUGCGCAACUCCGUCUUGGGCUCCCCAUAGAAACCAGUGAAUCUAUAGGUCUUCCCCUCCCAUAUCAUUUCCGCAUCUAUGAAGUAUUGGCACCACGUUAGGAAAGUUCUGGUUGUAAUAAAGAGUGGAGAGAAAAAUAAACUGAUGGACCAGGGUGGGAGGGGGUGGUGGGAGGAGAGACAAAAAACCCAGCGAAAAUAAACCGCGGACCAGGGGGGAGGGGGUGGUGGGAGGAGAGACGAAAAAACCAGCGAAAAUAAACCACGGAGACGAUUCACCAACUCAUCCAUUAGGAGUAGAGAUAACAAAAAAAUAAGUAUGGCAUAGAUAAGAUGCUUCAAAAUAGCUGGGCACAAACAAGUUGCCAUGAAAAGAUAUAACUUUUUUUGCGGGGAACAAUCUAGACCUUCUCAAAUUCCAACAAAUAAAAUAUGCUCGAUGUCCAUGAUCUAGGAGGGUAUCUACGAAUAGGUACUUAGGGUUUGUUCAUGAAAAAUAUUAAAAUGUUUGGCAAUUUUCCUUUUGGGUAGACAAAGUACCUCGAAAUAUGUAAAUUCAUUCUUAUACACCUGAACAUGCACCAUAGUAAACCAAAUUAUGUUUCCCUCAAAGUAUAACAAACAUAUUAUAUUUUUGAAUAGGUUAUCUGUGUAUAUGGUCUACACAAUUCAAAUAAGUAUCAACCUCGUGACCAAAAGAUUUAGUAAAAGGUACCUGGUGGUCCCAAUGAAAUAUUUACAUAACAUUACAAACUUAGUUCACCAAAAGAAUGAUCCGAUCCAGAUAAAUCCUUCUUCACACAUAGAUCGAACUGAUGAUGACGUAUCUAGAGUUAGGACCGGAUAUAUGCUAGUAACUUGUACUCCCUCUAUAAAAUAAUAUAAGAGCGUUUAGAUCACUACUUUAGUAUUCUAAAUGCUCUUAUAUUAGUUUACGGAGGGAGUAAGUAACUACCAUCCUUUUACAUGUAAAAGGGAAUUCUAUGAGUCAUGCCAUGCUCUAUACCUGUCAGUUCAUCUUAUCAUCUUAGAGAGCAAUACAAAGUUAGUUUUAUAAAAAAGCAACCGAGUCUAGACAAACCCUCCACAUACAAGGCUUUAAUAAUCGAGCAUAUCUUAACAGCCCACACACGAUUGCAACUUAGUUCUACACAAGUUUUGCCUUUCUUGUUUAUGGUUGACAGCCUAUACAAGGUUCCAAACUCGGUUGCAAAAGUGAUACUAUCCUAAUAAGUGUGUGACAUGUAAAGUGAAUAAGGUGAGUCAUAUAUACCACACAUCAGGAUUUCUAUACUUUGUGUGUGAUCAUAUGCACAACUAAAAAGCAACUUUGAUGAUCAAUUCAAAAGUACGCUUGUAGCUAGUGCAACCUAACACAAUGUACCAAAAAAUCAUUUCUGAUGCAUCCAAACAUAAUUAUUAAAGUUGAUGCAAAGAAGGAAAGAGGUGGUGCCCGGACUACUAUAAAUAGACAUGAAGUAUAAAGAUCAUCACAAGCACAAGCAUCAAAACCAAGCAAAACUAGUUAGCACCAAUCCAUCAUGAAGACCUUCCUCGUCUUUGCCCUCCUCACCGUUGUGGCGACAAGUACCAUUGCGCAGAUGGAGACUAGCUGCAUCCCUGGUUUGGAGAGACCAUGGCAGCAGCAACCAUUACCACCACAACAGACAUUAUUUCCACAACAACAACCAUUUCCACAACAACAACCACCAUUUUCACAACAACAACCAUCAUUUUCGCAACAACAACCACCAUUUUCGCAGCAACAACCAAUUCUACCGCAGCCACCAUUUUCACUGCAACAACAACCAGUUCUACCGCAACAAUCACCUUUUUCGCAGCAACAACUAGUUUUACCUCCACAACAACAAUACCAACAGCUUCUGCAACAACAAAUCCCUAUUGUUCAGCCAUCCGUUUUGCAGCAGCUAAACCCAUGCAAGGUAUUCCUCCAGCAGCAGUGUGCCACAACGUCUUGCUAGGUCGCAAAUGUGGCAGCAGAGCAGUUGCCAUGUGAUGCAGCAACAAUGUUGCCAGCAGUUGCCGCAAAUCCCCGAACAAUCUCGCUAUGAUGCAAUCCGUGCCAUCACCUACUCCAUCAUCUUACAAGAACAACAACAGGGUUUUGUCCAAGCUCAGCAGCAACAACCCCAACAGUUGGGUCAAGGUGUCUCCCAAUCCCAACAACAAUCGCAGCAGCAGCUCGGACAAUGUUCUUUCCAACAACCUCAACAGCAACUGGGUCAACAGCCUCAACAACAACAGAUACUACAGGGUACCUUUUUGCAGCCACACCAGAUAGCUCACCUUGAGGUGAUGACUUCCAUUGCACUCCGUACCCUGCCAACGAUGUGCAGUGUCAAUGUGCCGUUGUACAGCUCCACCACUAGUGUGCCAUUCAGUGUUGGCACCGGAGUUGGUGCCUACUUAUAAGAAAAGUUGUCUAGUAAUAUAUAGUUGGACCACCGUUGUCUAGUCGAUGGACAUGUCGAGGAAGCGGUGACAAAUAAAGUGUCACGCAACGUCAUGUGUGACCCGCACAAAGUAGUAAUUAAAUUCUGAAAUAAAUACAAAUAAAGUGUUCUCUAGACAAUGUUCAUACCGGCGUUGUGUGGACGUCGAUCUGACUACCAUGCUUGCAAGUUCAUAAGUUUGUCUUGCCUGCGGGCAGAAAAUAGGAUUUGGCUUUGUGGCCAGGAC